CCAGGUCUCUGGUCUCAGAGAGUAUAGUACACUCCGAGAUAAAUGAUAAUUCUUGCAUUGGACAAUAGUCUCACUAGCAGAAACAGGUACAUAAUAGGUCAACUGGUGAACUUAAAUGCAUUCAGCUAAGCAAACAAUAACUUGGGGGAAAAGAAUCUAAGCUCUCACUUAGUGAAGAAUCAAAGACAUAUUGGAUUAACUUUAAGUCCUCUGGACUGGUAGGUUUGCUCACUAUAAACGGACCAACCAACUAUUUGGACAUUUGCUUCCCAGGUGAGUCAAAUCUCACAUUUGAGGAGACAAUAGAAGAGCCAGGCUUCCCUUCCUUGCUGCUGCAAAUAUGGAUGACAAAAACAAAUUGAGAAAAAUGAUAAUCUCAUAAAAUGCGAACAUUCAAUUACGGGUGAUGACAACAUAACCCAUAAAAUGCCUCACGUCUUAUGAUCCGGAUACCAGACCCAACAUAAUUGGAUCUCGACACCAGACUCAUUAAACUUAAGUCUAGUGUCGGAACUUAACAGAAUUAAGUAUGAAUGCAGGAUUCAAGACUAAUGGGUCUUGAUGCAUGACCCAACAAAAUUAGGUCCCAUCACUGGACCCAAGACUAAUGGAUCCAGACACAUGACUCAUGUGAUGUUUUGAAAUUAAAUGAAUAGGUGAAAGGCGAUAAAGCCCUUGAAGGCUAAAAAUGAGUAUAAAUGAAUAAGGGGUAUUGUAGUAAUGGAACAAAGAGUUGAUAAAUAUAAAUAGAAAGGAAAAUAGAAGAGAGAGCUGUGUUUUAAGAGUGAAAAAAUGACGGGAGAAGAGAAGAAAAGGGGAGGAAGAAGAAGAGAAAAGAGGGAAAGAUAAGGGAAGGAGAAGAGAGUUGGAGAAAAUAAGUUUAAAGGUAAGAUUAUGUAUAAAUAUGUAUAAAUAUGUGUUCUUUAAGCUUUAAGUUCUAUCUUGGUUUUGAAUAUUUUAUGUUUUGGGUUUGAUUGAUGAAUUAAUUGGAAUAUUAUGGGUUGAUUGUUGUGGGUAAUUGGUUAAUUAGUUGAUUGUGAAAGAUUGGAGGUAAAGAUGAUGAUUUUGAGUUAUGAUUUUAUUUGAAUGGUUAAAUUAUGUUAGAAAUCAGGAGAUGACAGUAGGUAAUCUGUGAAAUUCUGGGUUUGAGGUUGAAGAUGACGAAAAUUCAAUUCGGUCCCUCAAUUUGUGAAAUUACAGUUUAGUCCCUAAACUUUGGGAAAAUUAUAAUUUGACCCCUAAUUGUAUUUUGAGAUUCUGGACAGUGUUAUUAUGAGGUUAAGGAUGAUGAAUCUCAGUUUGAUAAUUGAUUGGGAAUAUUUUCAGUUUGGUCCCUCAAUUUUGGGAAUUUACAUUUUAGUCCCUGAACUUUAUGAAAAUUACAGUUCGGUCCCUGGUUCGUUCUAGACAGAAUUAAGGAUGGUUUAUGGGUGAAAAUUCAGUAUAGUUAUGUAUUUUCCAGAUUGGUCCAAUUUUGGUAAAAUUACGUUUUGGUCCUUAUUUUGGAAAAUUGUCGUUUUAGUCCAUAAACUUAGGAGACUAAACCUGGUUUUAUUUUAUGCAUUGGGAUCUCUUGUUUGAGUUGCUUUUGAGUAUAUUUUCAUAUUGUUGUAGGUUCUCCUAACGAUCCUCAAUAGGAUUUUCAGGUCUUUCGUCUGACAUUCCUUUUAGUUCUAUAAUUUUCCGGGUGAGUGAGAUAAUCUUUAAUAUGCAUAUAUGAUAAGUAAAUAUGUAUGUUGAUUAUACAAUGAGUACAACUCGUUAAUUUCUUGAAUAAUUAUAUAUGUUGCUUAUUUUCCGAAUACUCAUUUAUUCUUGAAUUUGCACUCGCAAUCUGUCAAAGUAAAUUCUAUUUAAUAUGAUAUACGUUUCUUUGAUGAUUAUGUAAAUAUCUAUUAUGCCUUGAUAUGGGACUUGUCAGUAACUCCAUGCUAACGGAGAGUAGUUAGCCUACGUGCACAUAGUAUUCUGUAUACCUAGCUGGUGAGAGAGGCAUCAGCCUGUGGCGACUGAUCAUCCCACAGUGGUCACCUUCGGGUGUCAUCUGGUCACCUUCGGGUGUCAUCUGAUCUCUGACAUGUACUCCACUACGUUAUGAUGAUAUGUUUAGUAUGUAUAUAAUAUGUUUAGUAUGUAUAUGAUAUGUUCAGUAUGUAUAUGUAUAUCAAGAUAAAGGAUCUUGCGAACUAUUAAUAUCAAGAAUAUCUAAAAUGUAUAUUAAUUAUUAUUCCAGGUUCUUAGUUUCUGAUAGUAGGUGAACCUUGUUGAGUGUUCCUGCUUCUUCAGUUUUGGGUCGGUAUGCCUUGCUUAUCUUUCAAGGCUGUUUGAUUCGAUGUCUUAGGCGCUCCACUAUUACCUUAUUUUAAUUAAGUUUGGAUUUUUGACAAUGUAAUGAGUAUUAUGGAUUAUUGUUUUUCUUUUAAUUACUGAUGAGGAGUUUUAAACUAUCUUUUGGUUUCAUCAGUUUUGAAUAAUAUAAUAUUUUUAAAGAUUAUGAAAUGCUGUAUAUUUUUGAAUAAAUUAUUCUUUUGAUAUGUCUGUUUUGAGGCUUAGCGCAGGUGGGGUGUCCUUUCGACGCCGCUCUUGCGUUGCUGGUCAUGGACCCAGGAUUCGGGCCGUGACAACUCAUUAGACUUGAAUCUGGACUCAAUUCUUUAUUUUUGUAUUAAAAAAAAUUAGAAGCGCUUGCUCAUUUGCAUCUACUGAAUCAUGAAGCUUUCGUAUUAAAUUUUUUUAUUGUUUUGUGUAUUGGUGUACUAUAACAGCAUAUAUUACUAUUUUAUGUAUUGGGUCUUCUAAUUAUGUUAAACCUUGCAUCAUGCAGUAAAAAUGUUAAAUAUUAUUUUAGAAUUAACAAAAUCUAUUCCAUGCUUCAAGCUUAGAAAAUGUUGUUUUUUCACAUUUGUUUUUAACCGUUUGGUUAGGGGUUUUUUGUCUUUUUUUUUUUAAAAAAACAAGGUGCUAGGACUUUGUUACUAUUAGAAAAAAAACUUGAAUUUGAUUUCAAACAUAAAUAAAUUUGAACCCAUCGAUUGUUUUAGACAUGACAAUUAUCCAAGUCCAAUAUGGUAGGACUUUGUAGUUGGUCAAGUCUAAUGUAUAAAUAUUGUUACGCUACCAUUUCACUGAAAUACAUAUGACAUUGAAGAAAUGAUUAGGGAGAAAAUGAUCAACUCUAGUUUUGGUGGGGCUACAGGCCCUGAACUGCAGACACCUGGCGCUGGGGCUGGCAAGCCCUAAGAGCCCACGCACAACGUGAGGUUGCAGGCUCUAAUCUGCAGACACAUGGCACUAGAGCUGCCUUAGGCGCUAGGUCAGACCCGCGCACAUGACUGCAAAUCCAGGCGAGGGGGUUUGAAGACCCGCUCAGGACGCCUUAGCCUUGGAUUGGAUCCUACGUCAAGAUCCACUGCUCAUGGAUUCUACAUCAGGAACCAUUUCGCUGUGGUCUUGCGUCUGGAUCCAGGUCUCUUGGGUUUUGCGUAGGGACCCAAUCCUCUUGCGUCCUUUAUCAGGAUUCAAGGUUUUUGGAUUUUGGGUUUCUUAAUAUAAUUAUUUUUCUUAUAAUUCAAAGUAUUCAUCUCAAAAAUAUAAUUAUUUUUAUUAUAACUCAAAAUAUUCAUAUAAAAAAUAUUAUAAUGUGUUCGAAAUAUUAUUAUUUUUAUUAUAACUCAAAGUAUUCAUAUCAAAAACAUUAUUAUUUGUCUUAUAAAUAUUAUUAUUUAUAUUAUAAUUCUAAGUAUUAAUAUCAAAAAUAUUAUAAUUUGUGAUAUAAAUAUUCUUGGGUUUCUUAAUAUAGUUAUUUGUGUUAUAAAUAUUAUUAUUUUUCUUAUAAAUAUUAUUAAUAAAAUAAUUAAAAAAUUAAAAAACAUUAUUAUUAUUAUUAUUAUUAUUAUUAUUAUUAUUAUCAUUAAAUUUAAAAAAUACUAUCAUUACUAUUGAAGAAAAAGCAUCAUUUUUUAAAAAGAUUAAAAAAUAUAAGAAUUUAAGCGGACAAGUUAAAUAUUAUUGUUGGGUCGUGUUACAGCCAAACUCGAUGCUCUUGUGUCCGGCAUUGUGACUAGACCCAACACUCUUGAAUCUUAAAUUUUUUUAAUAUUUUUUAUGAAAAAUAAAAGGUUGGCUCGCGUCAUUUGUGUUAUAAAUAUUAUUAUUUUUCUUAUAAUUAAUAAUAUUGUAAUUAAAAAUAUUAUUAUUUUUAUUAUAAAAAAUUUAAAAACAUUAUUAUUAUUAUUAUUAUUAUUAUUAUUAUUAUUAUUAAAAUUUAAAAAAAAUACUAUCAUUACCAUUGAAGAAAAAACAUCAUUUUUUAAAAAAGAUUAAAAAAUAUAAGAAUUUGAGCAGACAAGUUAAAUAUUAAUGUUGGUUCUAGUGUUACAGCUAGACUCCACGCUCUUGGAUUCAGCAUUGUGACCAGAUUCAACACUCUUGAAUCUUAAAUUUUUUUAAUAUUUUUUAUGAAAAAUAAAAGUUGGCUCACGUUGUAGCGCGGUCGACCUAACUAGUAAUAAACUCAACAAAGAACUUACUUGUUUUCAGGGCUUUCCAACAAGUCCUGUACACAUAUAAAAGCCUCUAUGCUCUUUGGCCCCAAACCAUUGAAUGCUGGAUUCACCUUUGUAGCUUCACCGCUGAUAGUGGACUUUGAUAGAAUAGCUGAUAUUGGAAUUGCUAAGAAAUCACGAGCCAUUUUACCAAGUGCUGGAAAUCUUGGAGUAUUGACUCGCCACCAAGCUAAUACAUCUGAAACCUUAUCCCGGUUUUCCAGAGUCUCUCUUAAAUACCGAUCAAGAUCAGAUUUUGGCGGAUCAACCUUAAUCCACUCACAGAAUCCCAAGAACUUAACAUCAGAAUCCAGAUCAUAUGAUGGCAAACAACUGAUGUCCCUAGCAGGUGAUGCUAUGUAACCAGUGUCAUUCGCAUAACUGUUGUACAUACAUGUAAGUUUGCUACGAAAUUCCAGCAAGUAUUUGCUAGCAUCACUGCCAUACAUCAGCAAAAACCCAUACUGCACAAAUUUAAGUUUACAGCGCGGGUCGAGUACUAAUAGGAUUCCAAAUGCAAAACUCCAUUCACUCCAAUGCCUAUCAAGAUUCACCUUCAUUCUCUUCGCCAUCGAACAAACAUAUGCAUGCUCACUCUUUUCCCACGAAAGCAAGUUCUUAUAUAUAUAGCAAACAUGGAGGAAGCAUGCAUCUAUGCUUGAUGAAGAACUGCCUAAAGAUUUGUGGAUCACUUUUAAACACUCACAUACAAUCAUCGCCAUCUUCCACUCCUCUGCAGAUGGAUUCACCUUAAAAUCAAAAUCAACUUGCUCGAGUUGAGUAAAAGCUUCUCUUAAUUCCAAUGCACUCAUGAGCAUGACAAAUGUGGCAUCCCAUCUGGUAGGAUCAUCAUGAGAGGCUGCUUUCAUAUCUUGCAAUUUCACAUUAUUAAUUGCUUCCCGAAACUUAUAUUGGUUACUUGGUGUUGCAUUCACAUAUUCAAUACAGCCCCUAAUCUUGUUAAGCACAUCUUUUAUCUCAUAAAACCCAUCUCGAGCAAGAAGUUCAAGAGUUUGUGCGUAGCAAGAAAAACAUAGUAAGUCCCCAUUCAUAUGUGGGAAUUGACUGAGAAGCUUACUUCUGAAUUCUCUAGUCAUUUGACUGUUUGGUGGAGCAAGUUCUGCAAACAUGAAGUGCACUUUCUUAAUGAUGUUCCACUCCACAAGCACGUCUUUCACAGCUUCAUUCAUACAAUCAUGUUCUAUACUCCUGAAAGCCAAAAUCUUCUUAUUCAUCCUCCAUCCAUCAUCAAUAAAAUGCAUGGUCAAGCAGCAGGACAUCUUGUUAUCACCGUAUGACUGCAAAUCAAUUGUUAUACUGAAUAGAGAUGAGAGAUUAUCAAUAUAUUUCAUUAGUUUCUCUUUCUCUUGUCUGUAAAUAGAAAGAGCAUCAGCCUGAACAGUGUCUUGUGAACAGAGUUGAAACUUUGGCUGCAGAUCGCAGACAAAAGUUUUGAAGAACUCAUUUUGAACCAUAUCCAAUGGAAAUCCGAGCUUCAUAAUCAUUCUAACAAAGUUAAGGCGACUCCUUUCUUGAUCAAACACGAAAUUGCCUCCCAAAUCAGAAGGCAAUGUAUGUUGUUUUGCAUCUCUCUGUCCCUUUUUUGAACAACUUUUCAAGUGUUUGUGUAGAUUUGAAGUUCCCUUCGUGCUUUCCCCUGGAUACUUCUUUUGACAUCCUUUACAUAUGGCCCAUACUGCACCAUUUUCUUUGUCUUUAACCUUAUCGAAAUGUUUCCACACUUCAGAUACCUUUCGUCGUUUAUUAUCAGCACAUUCGAUGAACAUAUUAUCAUCAGGAUCUGGAGCAGGUUCAAUUUUAUCAUUGUUUUUACUAACUUUCGAGCCUCGUUUCUUGAUGAAUGGUGUUUCUGAAAACAUUCUCAAGCUCUUACAAGUUUGCUUUAUUGUAAGCUUCAGUUUCUCAACCAAUUCAUGCUGCUCUGAACUCUCUUUCACGAGGAUAGGGAGAAAGAACUCUAAUACAUAGACACAAUCAUCACCAGUGCUCCUUAGCAGGAUUGCAACCGCAGCAUUCAAAUUAUACUUCCGUGCGUGAUGAGCAAGAGGAUACUCGCUUACAUGUUUUUCCUUCACAUCAGGCUCAAAGGAAGGACGAUAUGUUCCAUAGGCUUGUCCAGCAGCACCUUGCCCUGUGAUCAGAAAUAGCUGCUCACAAGCAUGCACAAAGCCUUGCAUCUCCUCAUCUGCAUAACAAGCUGUACGCUCUAUUGCAAGUUCACAUGGCCACCAAAAACAAAAUUUUAAAAUACCACCAUCUCCCCAGGGAAUCCAUGUCAGAGCAACUGGCAAUCUGUGUGUUUGGCAUAAAGCUCUGGCAACAUCAGCGAUUUCAGUUAAGGCAGUUCUUUGAACCUCAUUGAAACACUGGGAAAAAAAUUAUAUUAGACAAAGCAAAAGACAACCUAAUUUUGCAUAGAAAAAACUGUAAGGUACUACUGAUACAUACCUGAGGAGGACGAGGUCGAGAUACUAGUAAAUUGGUCCGUAAAGUCACAGCCUGCAAACAGUUGGGCUUAUACAGAGUUUACAACGCCAUCAAAGAAGACCAAUGUAUCUUUGCACAUAUAAUUUAAUGGAAAAAAUAAUUUGGAUUCCAGUUGUAAUAAGGAAUGCCUCAUGAGCUCCAAUUAAAAGCUUAAAGACUGUUUCACUUCAAGAACACUAGCAAAAGCGAACGCAGAGCUCACAGAAAACGAAGCCAAGGGGGAAUUCACAUUUUAUGAGAUUUCAAAAGUAGAACAAACAAUAACUUUGACUUCGAACUCAAAUAUGCAAAAGACAACCUAAAUUUACAAGCUCAAUCACCAUCUUGUUAUGUAAUCAUUGAAAAGAGGAUAAGUUUGAAAGAAGUUCAAUCUUGACUUGACUUCUAAUUUUGAUAAUAAUUAACGAGGAAGCUUCCUCUGGCACACUUUGCUCCAUCAGUUACAUUUACAGGCUACAAGAACAAGAAGUUUCAUCAGGGUAAAAAAAACAUAAUAUCCUAAUUGACAAAAGCCAAUACAUUUAAAACUGUUAGUUGCAACAAAAGGGUUUUCUGCAGAUCCAUACUAUUUCCACAGUUUUUUGCAUUUGUUAUAAUUUUUUUUCAAGAUCCAUUAUAGGGACCGAAACAAAAGUAAUUCAUUUUUUUCAUCUCAACUUCCCAGGAGAGAUGAAAAAAAUCCGCUAAUCUUCUUUUCUUACCCUGGUCUUGUAUCUGCCAUAGCUCAUAAGGUAUGCAGCCAUUUACCAAGUUAUGCAGUCGCCUGUCAAACCAUUCACUCGGACUUGAUGCAGCAAAUGAAUCCUAUAUCUCAACAACUUGCCUUUUCAAUUGUAGAACAAAUAGAAAGAAAUGACUUCUUUCCUCGUCAAAGACAGGAACAAACGCCUGCAAAUAUAGUUUUCACAGCAUAACUAAGCAUGGGAUGCAUUAAUUGGACUAAAGAAAACCAAACUUCACCUUUCCACAGCAUAAAAGAUCUGACAUGUAGUUUUCCUUGAUCCUGUGCUGUGCUUUUUCGCGAAAGAAAUACACUUAGAUGGAUCAUCUGAAUUCUCCUGUACAACACAUGAGUAUAAGGAAAUUCUGUUUUUUCAUGUAGUGGACUUGUAAAAUUGAACAGAAUAAGAUGUCAGUUGUACAAAUAUGAUCUUGGAACCUACAGAUACCAAUUUACAGAAUCUUCCAUCUUCCUCUUAACUAAAGUUAUGGCAUCAGAUAUCGUAGAAAGGACGUUAUCAUCAAGCCAGGUCUUUGGUCUCAGUGAGUAUAGUUCCCUCCGAGAUAAAUGAUAAUUCUUGCAAUGAACAAUAGUCUUACUAGCAGAAACAGGUACAGAAUAGGUCAACUGGUGAACUUAAAUGCAUUCAGCUAAGCAAACAAUAACUUGGGGAAAAAGAAUCUAAGCUCUCACUCAGUGAAGAAUCAAAGACAUAUUGGAUUAACUUUAAGUCCUCUGGACUGGUAGGUUUGCUCACUGUAAACGGACCAACCAAAUAUUUAGACAUUUAAUUCCCCAGGUGAGUCAAAUCUCACAUUUGAGGAGACCAGAGAAGAACCAGGCUUCCCUUCCUUGCUGCUGCAAAUAUGGAUGACAAAAACAAAUUGAGAAAAAAUGAUAAUCCCAUAAAAUGUGAACAUUCAAUUUCGGGAGAUGAAAACUAUAGUUACAACAGAACAAUCACUUUCACAUGUUGUAAUCUCAUAGGACGCGUGCUAAUGCCUUAAAAGACAAUCUGGUUAAACAAAUUGAUACUGUAAUUGAAACUACAAGGUUGCACCAUUAAGCUUAGGAAAUGCAAAUCAAAUCUUAGCACAGAAAGACAAAAGAUUGACUGUGGUGUAUAUGUUAUCAAGUUUAUGCUAGCACCAGAAGAAGUGACAAAUCCUGAUUUUGAGGUAAAUUUUAACAUUAAUGUGCCCUUACUGAAGAUAAAGGUAUGGCAGUCUUUCUAAUUACCUAGCCAACAUGCAGUUCGAUAGCGAUACCGAGAGGUUCGAAGUGGUACUAAGAUUGCUAGUUGUUAAUUAUUGGAGACAAGCAAGCCCCACCAUGUGCAAGUGGGAUUACCUAAUCUCCCACUUAGCACAUGGUGGAGGACUCCCCCUCACUCCCAUUAAUUGUAUAUUAAUGUACCCCUCCUGUGAUGUGUUUGUGUGCGUAUGAAGAACACAGAGAGCAGCGUGAGAAACACAGAGAGAAGAGAGAACAGAGAAGAAUAGAGAGAGCUUGAGAGAGUAGAGUUGAGUUGAGAGAGUUUUAUCUCCUCCUCCUUUGUUUGUAUUGUUUGUAAGCUUCAUUAAUACAAACCAGUAGCUCCGUGGAGUAGGCAAGUUGCCGAACCACGUAAAUUGUGUGUGUUUGAGUUCUGGAAAUUUCCCAACAACUGGUAUCAGAGCUUGUUCUUGACAAAGAGGGUGUUUGAUCCAAACUCAAAAAUCAAAGUUCUCCAAACGUGUUUUUUAACAUACCAUCGUGAAGAGGACAACCGGAAGAAUCCACUGUUGAAAACCCGGCGAAGAACCGACGUCCUGCAUGCCCGCACGCGCCCACACGCGCCGACGUCCAGACUGCCCACGCGCACCAACGCGCCGUACGCGCGCCACGCUCCAUCUUCGCCCGGAUUCUGCAAAACGGGUCGGGCUGACCCGCCACGUCAUCACAGCCGUACGGUCAACGUCCGCGUCACCUGCCACGUCACCUGCCACGUCAUCUCUGAGUUUUGUUCCGAUGUGUCGCAGAAGCUGAUAUUCGGACACGUGGCUACAUCACAACCGUUGAGGGGUUUUGAUCCAGUACGACGCAGGAUCCAAUCAGUUGACACGUGGUUAAAUCAGGACCACUAUUGAGUAUUGAUCCAGUGUGACUCAGGCCAUCAUCUGCUGACACGUGGCUUCAUCAUAACCGUUACUGAGUUUUGAUACGGUGUGACGCAGGACCUAAUCUGCUGACACGUGGCUUCAUCAGAACCGCUACUGAGGUUUUGAUCCGGUGCGACGCAGGCGGUACUCUGGUUGACACGCGGCUGCAUCUGCACCGUCCGUUAAUCCAAAACUUUGAUUGCUAAAAUCUGAGCCAUCCGAAGUCCGAUUGGGGUGAUCUCAGUGUCAUUUCCAAGGUUUUCGGCUGUUCCGGACACAUCUGUAAGGUCAGAUUUGGGAAAUGCGAAUCGGAGAAGUAGUAAAAAUGGCAGAUGAAAUAAAAGCAGCUGGAAUUGAAAAAUUUGACGGGACAGAUUUUGGAUACUGGAAAAUGCAAAUUGAGGAUUGUCUAUAUGGGAAGAAACUUCAUCUUCCCUUGUUGGGGAGCAAACCAGAAAAUAUGCAAGAAGAAGAUUGGCUACUUCUUGAUAGACAAGUUCUGGGCAUUGUCCGGUUAUCCUUAUCAAGAAGAGUUGCUCACAAUGUUACGAAAGAAAGAUCCACUGCAAGAUUGAUGGAAGCCUUGUCUGGGAUGUAUGAGAAGCCAUCAGCAAAUAAUAAAGUGCACCUGAUGAAAAAGUUGUUCAACUUGAAGAUGGUCGAAAACACUUCUGUGACACAACACCUCAAUAACUUUAAUACCAUCACAAAUCAAUUAUCAUCUGUUGAGAUUGAGUUUGAUGAUGAGAUUCGUGCACUCAUUUUGCUAGCUUCACUUCCAAGCAGUUGGGAAGGCAUGAGGACAGCCGUGAGCAAUUCAGCUGGAAAAUCCAAACUGAAGUAUGAUGACAUUCGAGACUUGAUUUUGGCUGAAGAAGUGCGAAGGAAAGACUCGGGUGAAAGUUCAAGCUUAGGAUCAGCUCUCAACAUCAACACUCGAGGGAUGAGACAUGAUAGAGGCUUAUCCAGAGGCAGAUCAAAAUCAAGAUAUAGAAGUAAAAGCAAGUUUGGACCCAGAAAACAGGUUGAAUGUUGCAAUUGUGGCAAACCCGGUCAUUUCAUGAGGAAUUGCACAAAACCGAAAAAACCUGAAGCUGACUCUGCAAACGCUACCACAAAUGAGGUGCAAGAUGCUUUGAUUCUUGCUGUGCAUAGUCCUGUUGAUGAUUGGGUUCUUGAUUCUGGUGCUUCAUUUCACUGUACACCACACCAUGAAAUGAUGCAAAACUAUAUUGCUGGAGAUCACGGUGUAGUCUAUCUGGCCGAUGGACAACCAUUGGAUAUUGUGGGUUUAGGAGAUGUACAAAUCAAGACAAUGAAUGGAUCUAUAUGGACCUUGCAAAAUGUAAGGCAUGUUCCUGAUCUAAAGAAGAAGCUGAUCUCGGUCGGACAACUUGAUGAUAGUGGUCAUUCAAUCCUUUUUUCUGGAGGUAUGUGGAAGGUAUCAAAGGGAGCAAUGGUUUUGGCUCGUGGAAAGAAAACCGGCACCCUGUAUAUGACCACAAGAUUUGCAGACAUUAUUGCCUCUACUGAAGCAGAAAAUCAAGCACAUCUAUGGCACUGUAGACUCGGCCAUAUGAGUCAAAAGGGGAUGAAGAUACUUCAGUCGAAGGGAAAGCUGGCAGAAUUAAAAAAUGUCGAUCUAGACAUUUGUGAAAGCUGUGUUCUUGGAAAACAGAAAAAGCUCAGUUUCUUGAAGGUUGGCAGGACUUUAAGACCAAGAAAGCUAGAGCUGGUACACACAGAUUUAUGGGGACCGUCUCCAGUAGCAUCUCUUGGAGGUUCUCGGUAUUACGUGACUUUCAUUAAUGAUUUCAGCAGGAAGGUAUGGGUUUACUUUCUGAAAAAUAAAUCUGAUGUGUUUGAAACAUUCAAGAAAUGGAAGGCUAUGGUUGAGACUGAAUCAGGUCUAAAGUUGAAAUGCUUAAGAUCUGAUAAUGGAGGAGAAUACAUUGAUGGAGGUUUCAAGGAGUAUUGUGCUGUCAAUGGUAUCAGAAUGGAAAAGACCGUUCCAGGCACACCGCAACAGAAUGGCGUUGCUGAACGGAUGAACAGGACCAUCAAUGAACGAGCUAGAAGCAUGAGGUUGCAUUCAGGGUUACCUCAAACAUUCUGGGCCGACGCAGUUCAUACCGCAGUUUACUUGAUCAACCGUGGACCAUCGGUUCCUUUGGAGUUCAGACUGCCCGAGGAAGUAUGGAGAGGAAAAGAGGUACAACUCUCUCAUUUAAAGGUCUUUGGGUGUGUUUCCUAUGUUCAUAUAGAUUCUGAUGCUCGCAACAAGUUGGAUGCCAAAUCCAAGAAAUGUUUCUUCAUCGGCUAUGGAGAUGAAGAAUUUGGCUUUCGGUUCUGGGAUGAUCAGAAUAGAAAGAUUAUCAGAAGCAGGAACGUGAUCUUCAAUGAGAAAGUUUUGUACAAAGACAGAUCAAGUGCAGAAACAGAUAAGGUUGAUUCAGAUACAAGGCCACAAGGAUCUGAAUUCAUAAGAUUAGAAGGCCUUCCCGAUGUUACUGAGCAUAACAACAAUCAAGAGUCUUUACAAGAAGACUCAAGCAUAUCUGUACCCGCUACUACACAAGAAGAUGCGGAGCAAAUUGAACCAGCUGUUCGCAGGUCUUCGAGGACGAUAAAGCCCCCGCAACGGUUCACACUUUUACUGAAUUAUAUUUUGUUGACAGAUGGUGGUGAACCGGUAACUUAUGAAGAAUCCUUACAAGAUGGAAACUCAAGCAAGUGGGAGUUAGCCAUGAAGGAUGAGAUGAGUUCGUUGCUGAAGAACAAGACUUGGGAGCUAACCACACUGCCUGAAGGAAAGAAGGCUUUACAAAACAAGUGGGUUUACAGAGUGAAGACUGAGCAUGACGGAAGUAAACGGUUCAAGGCAAGACUUGUUGUCAAAGGGUUUCAACAAAAGAAAGGCAUUGACUACUCUGAGAUAUUUUCUCCAGUUGUGAAGCUCACAACAAUCAGAGUUGUUCUGGGGAUAGUAGCUGCAGAAAAUUUACAUCUUGAACAGUUAGAUGUAAAAACAGCAUUCCUUCAUGGUGACUUGGAGGAAGAUAUUUACAUGCAACAGCCAGAGGGGUUUGCAAUGCAAGGAAAGGAGAAUCAAGUUUGCAAGCUACAGAAAAGCCUAUACGGUUUGAAGCAAGCUCCAAGACAGUGGUACAAGAAGUUUGACAACUUCAUGUGCAGUUCCGGGUAUACAAGAUGCCAAGCUGAUCAUUGUUGCUAUGUCAAACAUUUUGACAACUCCUACAUCAUUCUACUAUUAUAUGUAGAUGAUAUGUUGAUUGCAGGAUCCAGCAUUGAGGAGAUUGAUAAGCUGAAACAGCAGUUGUCAAAACAGUUUGAAAUGAAGGAUCUGGGAGCUGCUAAACAAAUAAUUGGCAUGAGAAUCUUCAGAGAUAAAGACAAAGGCGUACUAAAGCUUUCACAAACAGAGUAUGUCAAGAAGGUUCUCAGCAGGUUUAGUAUGGAUAAUACUAAACCAGUAAGUACACCACUGGGGAAUCAUUUCAAGCUCAGCAAAGAUCAGUCACCAAAAACUGAGCUAGAAAGUGGAUACAUGGAUAAGAUUCCAUACGCCUCAGCUAUCGGCUCUUUGAUGUAUGCUAUGGUCUGUACCAGACCAGACAUUGCCCAUGCAGUGGGAGUUGUAAGCCGAUAUAUGAGCAAUCCUGGAAAGCAGCAUUGGGAGGCGGUCAAAUGGAUCAUGAGGUACUUAAAAGGUUCAUCGGAAACUUGUCUUAGUUUCACAGCUGGUGGUUUGAAACUUGAAGGUUUUGUAGAUGCUGAUCUAGCAGGAGAUGUUGAUAGCAGAAAGAGCACUACAGGAUAUGUUUAUACUCUAGGAGGUACUGCCGUUUCAUGGAGUUCUACCUUGCAAAAGAUCGUUGCUCUUUCAACAACAGAAGCUGAAUAUGUUGCAGUCUCAGAAUCUGCAAAAGAGAUAGUAUGGUUGCAGAGUUUCCUGAAGGAAUUGGGCAAGUUGAAUGGAAAAGGUACUUUGUAUAGUGACAGUCAGAGUGCAAUCUUCCUUGCCAAGAAUCCAGCAUUUCACUCCAGGACGAAGCAUAUUCAGAUCAAAUAUCACUUCAUCCGACAAUUGCUAGACGAUGAACAACUGAUGCUAGAAAAGGUCUGUGGAAGCAAGAAUCCAGCUGACAUGUUAACCAAAGGAGUUACACUUGAUAAACUGAAGUUGUGCAAAACUUCAGUUGGCCUUCAAGGAUAAAAGAUAAUUUCAUUGUUUGUCUCCAAGUGGGAGAUUGUUAAUUAUUGGAGACAAGCAAGCCCCACCAUGUGCAAGUGGGAUUACCUAAUCUCCCACUUAGCACAUGGUGGAGGACUCCCCCUCACUCCCAUUAAUUGUAUAUUAAUGUACCCCUCCUGUGAUGUGUUUGUGUGCGUAUGAAGAACACAGAGAGCAGCGUGAGAAACACAGAGAGAAGAGAGAACAGAGAAGAAUAGAGAGAGCUUGAGAGAGUAGAGUUGAGUUAAUCCUGAUUUUGAGGUAAAUUUUAACAUUAAUGUGCCCUUACUGAAGAUAAAGGUAUGGCAGUCUUUCUAAUUACCUAGUUGCCGAACCACGUAAAUUGUGUGUGUUUGAGUUCUGGAAAUUUCCCAACACUAGUGAGUGAUGUCAACUCAUGCAGGGAUGAUUUGGCUACUAAGGUUGAGGCAUAUUACGAGCAGACGUUUUGAAAUUAGUGAGAAUUUUUGGUAAGAAAUGAGAAUGUGAAAGACAUAAAUCAUCGAUAGGAAAGACAGUAUUCAGACAACAUAUAGGAAUUCAACUUCAAGGAAACUUACCAGAGAAUGUGGUCUCCAUGAGAAAGGAACUCAACGCUCAUCAAAUCAGAUGUGAAUGGCCAUUAUUGUAAACAAUAUAGUAUAAUUGGUAUAGGGAUAAAAUGGCAAUAUGGAAAACAGUCAUCUGGUUGCCUUGCCCCUCCUGCACAUUCCUGUGGAGAUUUCUGGCUGAACUAAAAACUAUAAGUUGUUUCAUCAUUUCAUAUAUACCAUGCAAAUAUUAUAUAAAUGCAAACUGCUUUGGACCUGUCAAUGUAAUCUGAAAAUCCCAAGGAUGAUAUGUAAAUGCAAAUUAGUUGCUCAACCUUACUCUUGUCAAUCCAUUGCAUUGAGGACGACAUAGCAUACACAACAAUUUUGGUUGUCAUCCUUAAACGAUGCAGAAUAUGCAAGACCACGAAGUUAUUGCCAAAAUGCAGAUAAAUCUAACAUUUUCCUGUUCAAAAUACAGCAUAUUAUGGUUCUAAAACAUAGUGGCAGGGGAAAGGAACUUAUUUAUCAACAACUUAGCAAGAGUGAGUACUUAAGGGCUGGACUCCAAUCCAAAUAUAUUGCAUCAGCUGGAACAAGAGGAUCUUAAAGGGAGAAACUUAUUUAUGAACAACAUUUUGUUCUCUCUCUAGGACAAACAAUUUAUGCCCUUUGUUUCCUUUUAUUAGGCUUUUAAGUGAAAACAAGUUGCUAGUCAAGUUACAUAAUUUGUCAUCUAAAGAUACAAGAGAACAAAAGCUUCUGCAAUAUAGUAUACAGUAAAGUGAAGCUAAACAUUUUCAUCCCUGAAUUAAAAUCUGGUUUCUCCUUCGCAGAGACAAGUUCCAGAACAGCACAGCAGGACAUCUCAUCUGGAUCAAAGAUCAAUGCAAAAGAACCCCGUACUUCAUGAUCAGAUGCAUGCUUUGCCCGUAAGUACUCAGGCUUGCUAUAAUAAAUUACACUUGAAGUCCAUUCUGGAAUCUUAGAGAUAAACAUACGACCAAGAAGGUCUAGUGUAAACCAUGCUAGAAUUUGGUCACACCAAGAAUGGUUGCGUGCUCAACAAGUAUUGAUCCCCGCUCCUUAUGGGAACCCACACCUGCACUUAAAUAACCCCUACAGAUGAAUCCUUGAACAAGGAUACUGCCCUUAGCAUCCUCUCAGCAAGUGAUGAUGGCCUAGUUGGCUGAAAAAUAAUACAAUCUGAGGUGUUUUGGAAACAGUUUUGUGGACCAGCACCACUACUGUGUUGCACCCAGAUCAUCAGCAUCAAUGGAAUCUGAGGGAUAACCAAAAUACGAAUUCAUUUGCUGAAGCACCACAUUAUCUCAACCAUUGUAAGAAGUCCCAGAAGCAUUUAUUUUAUCCAGUAAGGGAGCAGAAGUUUGUUUUGCAAAACUUUCUGCACAUAGGAUGGAUAGGAUGUUGAUGGAAAAGAUGGCAUCCCAUCAAAGGCAAGCAUUUGAUCCAUAGCUGAUGGGCUGUCGCAACAUCCAGCAUACAUAUCAAAAUUCCUAAGCUCUGAAAAAAAGUUGAAUGGGUCCUCAAACAAUGAAUUCCUAAGAGAAUCAUCGAAAGGUGGGACACUAUCUAUUUGAGCUCUUGGCCAAGCCCAAUAACCCAUCCACAUUUCUUUCGACGAGAAAGGGUUCUCCAUUUUGGUUAGUUAUAUAACUAACCAAAAUACUCUCCCCUCUUUUCAAUCAGAAUACCAUACAAAGAACUCAAUUCUUCGUUUCCUAAUAUCUUCCCUCACUUGCAUAACUUCAAAUCUUUCAAAGUUUCACUCUUUCUGCACAGAUUUUUAUCUAUCCGCAAAACAGAACAGCUCAAUUUUCUCUCUUUAGCCAUUUUUUUGCUUUUGAAUAACUAAAAACAUCUCAAUAAUUACACUUGAAAAACGUAACCUUUUACCUGUUCCGACAGAAAUAACCCAGACGGCAAAACCUCACUUUCUUCAAUCCUACGCCUGCACACACCAAGAAAUCAAGAUAUAUCAGCUUUCAGCAGCCAAUAAACAAAUAUUUCAACAUCCAUGGUCUAAUUAGUACAUCACUCACCUCCUUUCUAUGAGUAGCAAGGACAAUCCAGUAAUAUGACAUCCAAAAAUUUGCAGUAUACAAAGCCUCCGUGAUCACUUCCACACUCCAAUAUCAACAAUAACACCCCAAACCCACCUCCAAAUUUGUCUUCUUUAUACAUACAAGCACACGGAUAAAGCUAAAUAUAAGUAAAGACUGCCUUAUGUUUUGUUAAUCAUUUAACUUGGUCACAACUCCCUCGCAAAAAGCUGCUCAAGAAUGAUGGUCGACAGUUUAUGGCUCUUCCCUUGAGGUACCUGAAAAAAACAACAUGACACGAGAACUUUGCUAGAUCUUGCUAACUAAGCAGCACCAAUUGCAGAUAUGAAAAAGACAUGCUUGCUUUCACAGGUUGCCAUCACAUUCUUACAGAAACUGUGAAUAAGGAGUUAACGGAAUAAAUGGAGUAGCACACCGGAGAACAAAAUUAUCAAAGGCACAAAGCAGUGAUUUGAAGGGUUUUGCCCCAUGACUACAACAGAGAUUAGUUGCAGUGUUUCUUGAGGCGAUGGGAUUUACUUCUGCAGGGAAAAAUUAUGGUCGUGACGGAAUUAAAUCACUCGUAGCGAAGUACCUAAAUAUAUACGCUCAUUUCUCUCUGGAAAAAGGAAGAAGAAUUCAAGCCAAAUAAGGACUAGCUAGCUGCCAUGGACUAGUCGAGAGUGGUGUUUUUGUUCAUAGCUAUGAUGGUAAUAUGGCUAAGGCAGUUACAGGUCAUAGCAAAUAUCUAAAAUUUUGUUGAUUUGCCACAUGAGAUUUGCAAUGUCGAAAAUUCUAGCUUCAAUGAAAAUGAAUGGUAGCAUAACAAAUUCUUCUAGGCCUACAAACGCACGUCUUCAGUGUAAGACAGAGUUUUUUAUUUCAACAGCUCAAAACUCAAUUUGCUCAAAUGUUGAUAAUAAAUCUUGAAUUCUUCUAGGCCUACAGUACGACGCAAAGAAAGGUGUGAGAAUGGAUUACAAACCAAUGAGCCAAAAAAAAGAAAAAACACUUACGUUGAUUAUCAGUUCAACAGGAAGACCAAAAACACAGGCAAUGUUGUUCUUCCUCUUCCUCUUCCUCUUCCUCUUCCUCUUCCUCUAGUUAUUUUUUUUUUUUGGAUGCAGAGUCUCUGUUGUACCCAAAGCAAUAAAAUCAUAUUUCCUUACAGGGGUGUUAUUUUCGACCCGCUCUAAUUUUUAUAAAAUAUAAAAAAUAAAACCGAAACCGAACUAAAAUCGGUUCCAAACAGCCAAUUUUGGUUCUGUUUAGUUUAAUUUUGGUUCAAUUUAGUUAUUUUAUAUUAAAAAUAAAAAACUAUAUUAUUUUUUGGAUUUUUUUAAACUUUUCAAUAGGCUUUGUUUUGAUUCGGUUUGUUUUUUUAUUUUUUAUUUUUUUAAUUUGGUUUAAUUUAUUUUUAACUAAAUCGGUUCGGUUUGUUGAAGUUUUUAGAUUUCAGACUUCUAAAACUGAAACCGAAAUUGAAUCGAAUCGAAUAUAUUUUUUAAAAUAUUCUAAUCAAUUUUUUUAUAAUUUUUUUAAUUAUUUUUUAAUUUUCUCAAUUUAAUUAGUUUUUUAAUUUUUUAUUCACCUCUCUUUAUUUUUAAUUUACCAGUUAAUAUUUAUAGGAUAAUAACGAAUAUACUUUGAUGAGUUAAAACUGGUUAAAAAUUCUAAAAUUCGAUUGGUUUUAUCAUUCCUAAUUAUUUGGUGAUUUAACAAGUCUAAAAUAAAUCACUCCAUAUCACAACUUAAAUCAUGUAUAGGAAUGAUUUAUUGGGCCUGUAUUGGGUUAAUUGAAUUCAACCUCGAUCGUAGAUAAGGCCCAUAAAAGAAUUUAUGAUUAUUAUUUGGACAAGAAAAAUUAAUCGGACCUUUAUUCGAGAUGGAGUUUGUCGAAGAAGGAGAUGGAGUUUGUCAUCAACCGAAUGUUGGAGUUUGAGAAAAGUCAAUCGGACCUUAAAACAUUUACAAGUCCAAUUGACUUUUCUCAAACUCCAACAUUCACUCCGAAUUUGAUUAUCAACAAAUUCCACCUCUUUCUUUUCUGUUGGUAUAAAUAAGCGGCAAUAUCAGCAGGUAUGACAAGCAUACUUUCUCGACAGUUUUUUUCGUUUCUUAUAAAUUAUUUCCUAGUCUUCUCAAGCUUUAUAGCAUACAUCACAGGAAAACCAGGGAGAAUGGUGCUCGAGUUAUCAAGGGUUUUAUUCUUUCAAUUCACGAAUCUGUGUCCCGACUCUGGCAUAGAGCACGACAAUUAGAAUCAUAGCAGCUACCACCUCCCACCAUGAACGAAGAAGAAGAGCUGGUCAACGCUAAGCAGGAAAAGGAAUGGCAAAAGGUGCUUAUAAGCACCUGCUUCACAUCAGGACUUCAAAUAGGCCUUUAUUUUCACCAAAUUACUGAUUCCAAACUCGAUUCCUUGCAUUUAGUCUGUAUCCUUGUUGCAAUUCUCUUUUCUUGCUUCUUUGUUUGACAUUUUAUCAACCCCACCAAGUUUCCGAGGACAUCCAAAGUGUUGGGUAAAGCUGCAGUUUUCCUGACAGCCACUGCGUUUUUCAUCACCAUUUCAAUCCCAUUCCACCCUGGUGUCAAGUGGGCUACUUGGAUAAUCUACGCCAUUUCGUUGCUUGUUAUUGCAAUCUGCAAUUUCUGCUACUAGACUCGAGCUUUACAUGGCAUAUAUUUUUUUCUGUCAGUGUUUGUAUUUGUUCUUCGUAACAAGGCUUACAUUUGCAUGUUGGAAGCUGUUGAAAUCCAGUGUAAUCACGGAUCACGGUGUUAUAUAUAACCAGUGAUCAAUAUAACAUAAUAAGGGUCAUUCAAACUUUUUAUGGGCUUGCAUCUUUCGAUUGGAGAAUUUGAUGGGCUAAGCCUAGGUAGGAGCCUAGAUACGGCCUGAUUAUCUUAUGUCUUGCCUGUUAAACUUCGUCUACAAAUUAAAUUAGGGCUAACAAAACCCAUUGAUUGACAAAAUUCUUAGAGACCGUUUCUCAAAUUUUAUUUUACUUUUUAAAAAAAAAAAUUAUUUUUUUAUAUUUUCAGAUUAUUUUAAUAUGUUAAUUUAAAAAAUAAUUUUUUAAAAAUAAAAAAAAUUAUUUUAAUAUAUUUCUAAAUAAAAAAUACUUUAAACUGCAAUCGUUACCACAGUACCAAAGAUUUAAUUGUUAUUGGCACAUCGUUAUUCUUAACCUUCCAAAACUUUAUUUAUUUAUUUAUUUUGAUAAAUCCUUCCAAACUGUAGUUAUCUUAUCUUUUUUAAAUUAAUGUAACUCAGUCGAGAGGCAGCAUAUUAUAGGAGUCCAAUCACUCAUGGGAGGUUAAACUUAAAAUAUUAGGUAUAGACCUAAUCAAUGAAGAUGAGUCAAUCAUAUUAUAGGAGUCCAGUGCAAUUAAUUAGUAAGUCUUUACUCAUUUUUAGCAAUAUCUAUAUUGUAAAACCUGAGAAUAAAACUCAACCUAAUAUCUAUCAACCACUUUCUUUCAAUUAAUCAUUAUAUUUUUUUUAUUAAAAAUAUUAUUUUAAUAUAUUUUUAAAUAAAAAAUAUUUAAAAAAUUUACUAGACCAAACAGACCAACAAAGUGUGCCAAAGGAAGCUUCCUCGUUAAUUAUUAUCAAAAUCAGAAGUGAAGUCAAGAUUGAACUUCUUUCAAAUUUAUCCUCUUUUCAAUGAUUACAUAACAAGAUGGUGAUUGAGCUUAUAAAUUUAGGCAAGACAAUCCAAAUGCACUUGAGAUUCGCAGCCACUUCUAUCCCUUGAGUGUUUGGGAUUACUUUUUAAAAACGUUUCUAAAUAAAUUUAAAUUUUUUUUUUAUUUUGAAGUAAUAUAUUUUUGAUAUUUUCAAAUCAUUUUAAUAUGUUGAUUUUAAAAAUAAUUUUAAAAAAAUAUUAUUAACUGAGUAAAAAACACUUUAAAAAGUAACCACAACCACACUCUCAAACAUCCUCUAAAAAAAACCUUGUAAUCCUUUUUUUAUUCAAGAAAAAUAUAAAAAUAAAAUUAAAAAUAAUUAAACUACGAGAAUAGAGGAAAAAUAUCAGUAAAUUUAAAGGGGCAGAAAAUAAGUUAGUUUUAAAACCCAAAGCCAAAAAUCAACAAGUCAACCUCCUUCAACUCUUUAACCACUCCUCAUCGUUCCACUUUCCAGCCAUGGAUAAGAAGAUCUGAGGAGUGAGAAGACUUGUUGCCCAAAAAACAUUUGUCUUGCGUCGAUGAUGAUUUACCUCCUGUAAUGUUGACUCUAUGGGAAAAGAUGGAAAAAGCGUUAUCGUUGCUUAAAGAUUAAAAAUUCUUUAGGAAUCGGCCUGCAAAAUCUCCCUUACCCUCACCUGUGCGUCCCAAAUUCUACGCUUCUUGAAUGUCUUCAACUGGAGGGUCGGAAAGGGCUUUCAUGUCCAGAGCUUUUUGCUCGGGUAUGGAAUUGUGGAUUUCCACAAUGGACUUCAAAUGUACGUUAUUACAGACCGAGUGAAUACGCACACAUAUCAGAUGCCAUCUCUUGUGGAGUAAGGGGUAUUAUUGCCUUUCCGGUCUUUGAUUCUGCUGCACCCAUGCAUUGCCGUGCUGUGCUGGAGCUUGUGACCAUGGAGGAGAAACAAGAUUUUGAUUUAGAGACGGAAAAGUUUUCCAGGCUCUCCAGGUUUGUUUUCAUUACAUAUAUUUUUUCAAUCAGAUUUUGGAAUACGUUGAAAAUACUACUCAAUUUAUUAUCAGGAUUUAGGAGAAUAAGAAAGAGAUGAAAGAAAGUAGCUUUCCUUAGCAUAUUGAGCUUGAAGUCAAAGUUAUUGUUUUUUCUACUUUUGAAAUCUCAUAAAAUGUGAAUUUUCCCCUUAGCUUCAUUUUCUGUGAUCUCUGCGUUCGCAUUUGCUAGUGUUUCUGAGGUGAAACAAUCUUUAAGCUUUAAAUUAGAGCUGAUGAGGCAUUCACUAUUACAACUGCAUGCAUUAGCUUGAGUCCAAAAUAUUUCUGCCAUUAAAUUAUAUGUGCAAAGAGACAUUGGUCUUGUUUGAUGGUGUUAUAAACUCUGUAUAAGCCCAACUGUUUGCAGGCUGCGGAUUUACGGAUCAAUUUACAACCUCGACUUCGUCCUGAGGUAUUUAUCAGGAGUACCUUAUAGAUUUUUCUAUGCUAAAUUAGGUUGUCUUCUGCUUUGUCUAAUAGAAUUUUUUUCCCAGUGUUUUUCAAGGGAUCAAAGAGCUGAGUUAACAGAAAUCGCUAAUGUUACCAGAUUGUAUGCCAAACACACAGAUUGCCACUUGCUCUGACAUGGAUUCCUUGGGAUUAUACCUGGGGAGCUGUUGAUGAUAUUUCAAGAUUGCGUGUCAGAUUAGGUAUUCAAUUUUUUUUAUGGACAUGUGAACUUUCUAUAGAGCGUACAGCUUGUCAUGCAGAUGAGGAGAUGCAAUGCUUUGUGCAUUCUUGUGAGCAACUAUUUCUGAACACAGGGCACGGUGCUGCUGGACAAGCCCAUCGAACAUAUCUUCCUUCCUUUGAGCCUGAUGUGAAGGAAAAGCAUGUCAGCGAGUAUCCUCGUGCUCAUCACACUCGAAAGUAUAAUUUGAAUGCUGCGGUUGCAAUCGUGCUAAGGAGCACUGGUACUGGUUGUAGCUAUAUAUUAGAGUUCUUUCUCCCUGUCCUCAUGACAGAUAUUUUAGAGCAGCAAGAUUUGGUUACAAACCUGAAGCUUAAACUACGGGAAACUUGUAAGAGCUUGAGAAUGUUUUCAGAAGCACAAUUAGUUGGGGAACAAGGUUCUAAAGCUAGUAAAAAGAAUGCUAAAAUGACACCUUCUCCAAAUGCUGAUGGUAAUAUGUUCACUGUAUGUGCUAAUAAUAAAAGACGAAAGGUAUCUGAAGUGUGGAAAUGGUUCGACAAGGUUAAAGAAAAGAAUGGUGUAGUAUGGAGCAUAUGUAAAGGAUGUCAAAAGAAGCAUCCAGGGGAAAGCAAGAAGGGAACUUCAAAUCUGCACAAGCACUUAAAACGGUGCAGUAUGGGCCAUAUGUAAAGGAUGCAAAAACAAGUAUACAGGGGAUAGCAAGAAGGGAACUUCAAAUCUACCCAAACACUUAAAAAGUUGUUCAAAAAAUAGACGGAGAGAUGCAAAAACAAAUAUGUUUGUUCAAUGGCGAAGAGAAUGAAGUUAUCUAGCAUCACCUUCUAAGGACAUCAGUUGUCUGACAUCAUAUGAUCCAGAUUCUGAUGAUAAGUUCUGGGGAUUCCGUGAGUGGCGUAAGCAGAAAGAUGAUGGCGAUGUGGUUGAUUCACAAAAACUUGAUCUUAAUCGGUAUUUAGGAGAGCCUUUGGAAAACCUGGAUAAGGUUUCAGAUGUAUUAGCUUGGUGGCGAGUCAGUUCUCCAAGAUUUCCUACACUUGGUAAAAUGGCUCGUGAUUUCCUAGCGAUUCCAAUAUCAGCUACUGUAUCAAAGUCUUUUUUCAGUGGUGCAGUUGCUUUCAAUGGUUUCAGGCCAGAGAUCAUAUAGAGGCUUUAAUAUGCGGACAGGACUGGUUGGAAAGCCCUGAAAAUAAUUGAGUUCUUCACUGUCUACAGACAGGUGAUUACAAAAUGAUUCUUCCCCCUAAAUUUCUGAACAUCGUUUUCCUGUUUUUUUUCCUACCAUUAUUUGUUAAUGAAAUUUGGCUGCAAAGUCGCACACUUCCCUUGUAAUGAAUAUUAACAGGGUCAUGAUGAUGCAACGUUGAUCAAUUAUAGUAUCAAUUUGUUUAACCAGAUUGUUUUUUUAAGGUAUUAGCAUAUGUCUUACGCGUUGACAACAUGUGAACGUGAUUGUUCUGUUGUAACUAUAGUUUUCGUCACCUGAAAUUCAAUGGAGGGCACUGAACAUGAAACCAAUUUCGAUAAAAUGUUGGCAUUUUAUGGGAUGAUCAUUUUUCUCAAUUUGUUCUUGUCAUCCAUAUUUGCAGGAGCAAGGAAGGGAUUUCUGGUUCUUCACUGGUCUCAUCUGACUCACUUGUGAAGCAAAUGUCUAAAUAUCUGGUUGGUCCGUUUAGAGUGAGCAAACCUACCAGUCCAGAGGAUUUGAAGUUAAUCCAAUAGGUCUUCGACUCUUCACUGAAUGGGAGGUCAGAAUUUUUUCUAAAAGUUCUUGUUUGCUUAGCUGAACGAUUUUAAGCUUACCUGUUCUAUACUUGUUUGUGCUAGUGAGAUUGUUGUUCAAUGCAAUAAUUAUUAUUUAACUCGGCGGGAAUUAUGCCCCAUGAGACCAUAGCCCUGGCUUAAUGAUAACGUCCUGUCUACAUUCUUAGCUCAUAGAUACUACAUAAAAUGUUUGAAUGGCCCAUAUUAUGUUGUAUUGAUCAAUGAUUAUACAUAAUAACGUGAUUACACUGAAUUUCAACAUGCAAAUACAAACAUUAACAGGAAAAAAUAUAUGUCAUGUGACGCUGGUGUCUAGUAGCAGAAAUUGCAGAUUGCAAUAACAAGCAACGAAAUGGCAUAGAUUAUCCAAGUAGCCCCCUUGAGACCAGGGGGGAAUGGGAUUGAAAUGAUGAUGAAAAACACGGUGGCUGCCAGGAAAACUGCGACUUUACCCAACACUUUGGAUGUCCUCGGAAACUUGGCAGGGUUGAUAAAAUGUGACACAAAGAGGCAAGAAAAGAUAAUUGCAACGAGGAUACAGACUAAAUGCAAGGAAUCGAGUUUGGAAUCAGUAAUUUUGUGAAAAUGAAGGGCUAUUUCAAUUCCUGAUGUGAAGCAGGUGCUUAUAAGCGUAUUUUGCCAUUCCAUUUCCUGCUUAGCAUGGAACAUAUUGACCAUCUCUUCUUCUUGGUUCAUGGUGGGAGGUGGUAGCUGCUGUGAUUCUAGUUGUCCUGCUCUAUACCAGAGUCGGGACACAGAUUCUGGAAUUGAAAGAAUGAAACCCUUGAUAACUCGAGCACCAUUCUCCAUGGUUUUCCUGUACGCUAUAAAGCUUGAGAAGACUAGGAAAUAAUUUAUAAGAAACGAAAAAAACUGUCGGAAUAAUAUGCUUAUGAUACCUUUAUAAAAGUUUUUAAUAUCAAAAAUAAAUUAUUUAAAAAAUAUAUUUUAAUUUAUUUUUAAAUAAAAAAAUACUUUAAAGAAUAAAUAGUAGCAGCAGUAAAGCUUCAAAGUCAACAAGUGCUAGAAUGGAGAAUGUAAUAAUGAUGUACACAGAGAAAAGAACUAAGAAAAUGGAGAAACGUAGAGAAACAAUGGUAAAUCCUCUCUCUUCUUCUUUUUUAGUUUUUUCACAGAAAGAAACAAAUUAACUCAAAAGCUCAGAGAGAAUUUGCACACCGGAAAAAAUGCAAAAAACCUUAAAUUAUCGUUGUAAAAAAGAAACAGAUCGAGAAUCACCUGAAUAUUCAGCUUUAUAUGCCAGAAUACGUAUGGUACACCGUCAGUGCAGUUCUUUCCUCAGCUCUUCAUUAAUUUGAUCUUGGGUCUAUUUUGUUUCACCAGGCUUUGUUGUUUGCUUUGUGGGGGUUUGAAUAUGAAUACUGCUUGCAAGAAUGGUGGCUUUAUUUAUACUCGAGGGGCUUGGGUCCCAGUGCUGGCUGGGAAGGAACGUGUCAACAUUCUGAAGAGAAAACGCUGUUAAAAAGCGAUACUGGAUUCUUGGGUGCUGGUGGAGCCCGACUCUUUACUCUUUUCUAGCAUCUUUCGCUUUCACACCGUCCAGUAGUUAUUUUUUAAAUAAUUUUUUAUAUUAAAAUAUAUAUAAAUAAUAUUUUUUAUUUUUUAAAAAUUAUUUUUAACAACAAUAAAUAAAAACGAUUCAAAAUAUAUUAAAUAUAUUAAAUUUUAAUAUAAAAAAAGUUUUGAAUUUUUUGACAACGCGGUUCCCACCGCGUUACCAAAUUGUUUCUAUCUCUCGAAAAGCAAAGAGAUGAAAGAAAAUCUUUGAGAAAAUGCUGUUAAAAAGCGAUACUGGAUUCUUGAGUGCUAGUGGGAGCCGACUCUUUACUCUUUUAUAGCCCCUCGCGCAAGACAGUUGAGGUUUAAUUAGUUGUUAAUCAAAUAAAAUUCCGGUUUAAUUAAUUUGGGUCUAUUUUGUUUCACCAGAAUUUUAUUUUAUUAAAAUUCCGGUUUAAAAUUUUUGGUAAUUAUAAUAUUUUCAAGAGAGUUUUUGUGAUUAUAAUUGGAUAGUUUCUUUGAAUUCUUGAAAUUAAUGUUAAGAAAUGCGUUGUUGUGUUGAAAGUCUGUUAAUUCUAUGGCAAUGCUUAGAGACCAACCUCCAGCUUGGUGUUAUUCCCAUCAGUGCAUUGCUGUGUUGAAAGUCUGUCAAUUCCAUGGGACAUUGUCAUAUUAAUUUUUAUUUUUGGAAGAAAAAACCAAAAUUAAUGGGCCCCGCAUCUCUAGCAAAAGAUGCGGGGCCCAUUAUUUUGUAUACAUCCUUUCAUUCUACCUCUUGAAAAGUAAAGCGAUGAAAGAAAAUCUGCAUGCAUCCUUUCAUUCUCCAUGGUUUUCCUGUGCUAGCUAUCGUGCUCUAUUUAUAGAUAUUGUACUAGGGUUAGUGAGGUUUGAUAAAGUAAUCAGAGUUCGUGAAAAUGAGUGCACGUUGCAUAUUCUAUUUGAAGUCCAGAGUCAGUGAAAAUGAGGCCCACCUAGAAAAAGAAGAACCUGUUGCGUCUAUGUUUUAUUUAAAACGCAGAUAGAACCUGUUUGUUAAUUUAAAACGCAAAUAGAACCUAUUUGAUUAACAAAACAACACAGUUUAUUAUAUAUGGGUUCCACGUAAAUUUAUAUUCGAGACGCAAAAAAAAAAAGAAGCAGCAAAAUGCUGCUUCUUGCGCACUGUUCAUGCCAAUUAAUUAGCAUGAACAGUGUAGCACAUACACUGUUCACGCCAAUUAAUUAGCAUGAACAGUGUAGCACAUACACUGUUCAUGAUAAAAAUAAUCAGCAUGAACAGUGUAGCAUACACUGUUCACGCUGUGUAGCAUACACUGUUCAUACUAAAAAUAAUUAGCAUGAACAGUGUAGCAUACACUGUUCUGGUCCGACCGGUUCCGGUUCAAAACUUUAAAUGCAUUGAAAUAGGUCCGACCCAGUACAAUAAAAAAUAAAAAUUAUUUUUUAUUUUUUAAUUGUGUUUUAUUCAAAAAACUAAUAUUUAACAUUAUUCAAUAACCCAUUGUCGGAUGUAUUUCAUACGUGAUGAAAUUGUAAAUAGUUUAAUGAAAUAAUAAAAAAUAUUUUAUAUAAAGUAUUAUUUAUUUCAUGAUGUAAUAACAAUAGUUAAAUCUACAAUAUUUAAAUUAAAAACCAUCAAUAUUAAUAUAUAUUUUUUAAAAUUAUUUUAUAAUCUCAACUUCAAAAGCAUUAUUAACCAAACACAUUAAACUACUUUUUGUUCAAACUCAAUUUCAACUACAGUUUUAACCAAACACCUAUUUUUUCAAACCAACCUCAACUAAAAGUACUUUUUAUAAAACAAUUUUUUUCAAAUCACAACCACAACAGCUACUGCAAUACCAAAACACUCAAAGCUCUCAAGAUAGAUAUAUCUAUCUCUAUGGCGUCACAUGGGCACCACACACAAGAUUGACCCGUCGUAGGAUAAAAGGAGAGGCUCGGCUCAUCUUCUAUCGUCGAGGGUGGCUAUCAUGGCUACGUGGAUUGACCUUCUCUGUUCUUAUGUAGCAAAAGGAAAGUGAAUAAAAAUGAUUGACUUUAGCUCAAAGUAAUAAAGAAUUGAGUUGUUGGGCGACUGAGAAUAAUAAUAACAACAACUUAUUUGUUUUUAUUUUUUUAAUUUAUUUUUCUAAUAUUUUCAUAUUAUUUUAAAAUAUUUUUAAGUGAAAAAUAUUUUAAAAAAUAUUUUAAAGGUAAAUAUCAAGCUUGAUAUUUAAAAGAAUAUUAAUAAAAUAAUAUAUAUAUAUAUAUUAUUUUAUUAAUAUUCUUUUAAAUACCGGAAGUUUUUAAUUGGUAUGGUAAUUUUUUAAAAAAAAAAACGUUAGAAUUCUGGCUAUGAAUUUAAGUCACGUGGCUCUAAGAGUGGGAAGAAUUAACAAAUUUAGCGGGAAGAAUGGCAAAACCAAAGUAACCAUUUAACAUAUUUACAAAUUACUAGACACGUGGCUUCACAUUAACAACCUAAGUCGGUAGUCGAGGGGCUUGGGCUGUGUUAAACCGUGGAAGGGUAUUUGGGCCCACGUGACGUUACUUUCAAAUUUACAAAUUUUGCCCCAGACUCGAGUAUAAAACCACCCCCCCCCCCCCCCCCCCCAAGCAUCAACAAGACCUGCUCUUGCUCUCGCCUUGGAUUGAACAAGACCUGCUCUUGCUCUCGCACCCCCGCACCCCCCCCCGGCGCGAGGAGGAAAAUCUCCCGUGCCUCCCCCCCUCUCCCCAAGCAUCAACAAGACCUGCUCUUGCUCUCGCUCUCGCUCCUGGGCGUGAACAAGACCUGCUCUUGCUCUCGUGCUCCCCCCCACCCCCCCUCCCCCCCCAAGCAUCAACAAGACCUGCUCGUGCUCUCCCCCCUGGGUGCGAGGAAAAUCUAUCGUGCUCCCCCCCCUCCCCCCAAGCAUCAACAACCCCCCCCCCCCCCCGGGGCGCGAGGAAAAGCUCUCGUGCUCCCCCCCCCUCCUCCCCCCAAGCAUCAACAAGACCUGCUCUUGCUCUCGUGCGUAGUCGUGCGAACAAGACCUGCUCUUGCUCUCGCGCUCUCGCCCGACCUGCUCUUGCUCUCGUGAUCUUGGACUCGCAAGAGCUGUUAAAACCGUGGUAGGUUACUUGGCCCCACGUGACGUUACUUUCAAAACCAAUUUACAAAUUUGCCCAAGGCUCUAGUAUCGUUUAGCACACGCCAGAGUCUGCAAGACGGACUCGCAAGAUUGUUGCCAUAUCCGUAGGCAAGACCCAAACCCUCCCUGUAAAUUCCAUAGAAAAGGCGAUUCCAUAGAAAAGGUGGAUAAGAAUAUAUAUAGCGUUGCCAUAUCCGCAAGACCGAAACCCCCCCUGUAAAUUCCGUAGAAAAGGCGGAUAAGAAUAUAUAUACGGAUACCCCCCCAUAUAUACCGUAGGCAAGACGGACCCCCGGCACAACAUAUUCACGACCACAGCACUUAUACAAACAAUUCAAUCUAGUAAUUUAAGUUUUUAUAUAAAAUUUUAAUAAUUUUAAAUUUAUUCUCUUACACAAUUUUUAUAAACAGGAUUCAUAUUCAAACCCUACUGCAAACAACAAAGCCUGCAGCACUCAGCUCUUAAUUAAUUUGGGCUAUUUUAAUGAAGAGCUGAGGAAAGAACUGCACUUAUUGUAUACGAAGCAAACAACAAAGCGGUGAAACAAAAAGACCCAAACACGCUCGAAGAGCUGAGGAAAGAACUGCACUUACUCUAUAUACCAUAAGUAUUCUUGCAAAUAAAGCUGAAUAUUCAGGUGAUUCUCGAUCUGUUUCUUUUUUACAACAAUAAUUUAAGGUUUUUUGCAUUUUUUCCUUUGUGCAAAUUCUCUCUGAGCUUGUGAGUUAAUUUGUUUCUCUCUGUGAAAAAACUAAAAAAGAAGAAGAGAGAGGAUUCACCAUUGUUUCUCUACGUUUCUCCAUUUUCUUAGUUCUUUUUUCUGUGUACAUCAUUAUUACAUUCUCGAUUUUACACUCGUAGACUUUGAAGCUUUACUGCUGCUAGUAUUUAUUCUUUAAAGCAUUUUUUUAUUUAAAAAUAAAUUAAAAUAUAUUUUUUAAAGAAUUUAUUUUUUAUAUUAAAAAUUAAAAAAAUUAAAUUUCCUUCAAAAUAUUUUUAAAAAGAACUGUAAAAAUCUCAAAUUAACAAAAAAACUAUUAUAAUUAUAUAUAAAAAAAACUUUUAUAAAAGUAUCACAAGCAUGCUAUUCCGACAGUUUUUUUGUUUUUUAUUAUUUCACAGUCUUCUCAAGCUUUAUAGCAUACAGCACAGGAAAAUCAUGGAGAAUGGUGCUCGAGUUAUCAAGGGUUUUAUUCUUUCAAUUCCAGAAUCUGUGUCCCGACUCUGGCAUGGAGCAGGACAAUUGGAAUCACAGCAGCUACCACGUCCCACCAUGAACCAAGAAGAAGAGCCGGUCAACAUGUUCCAUGCUAGGCAGGAAAUGGAAUGGCAAAAGACGCUUAUAAGCAACUGCUUCACAACAGGACUUGAAAUAGCCCUUCAUUUUCACCAACCUACUCAUUCCAAACUCGAUUCCUUGCAUUUAGUCUGUGUCCUUGUUGCAAUUAUCUUUUCUUGCCUCUUUGUUUCACAUUAUAUCAACCCCGCCAAGUUUCCAAGGACAUCCAAAGUGUUGGGUAAAGUCGCAGUUUUCCUGGCAGCCACCGUGUUUUUCAUCAUCAUUUCAAUCCCAUUCCCCCCUGGUCUCAAGGGGGCUACUUGGAUAAUCUAUGCCAUUUCGUUGCUUGUUAUUGCAAUCUGCAAUUUCUGCUACUAGACACCAGCGUCACAUGGCAUAUAUUUUUUUUCUGUCAAUGUUUGUAUUUGCAUGUUGAAAUUCAGUGUAAUCACCUUAUUAUGUAUAACCAUUGAUCAAUACAGCAUAAUAAAGGCCAUUCAAACUUUUUAUGUAGUAUCUAUGAGCUAAGAAUGUAGAAAGGACGUUAUCAUCAAGCCAGGUCUAUGGUCUCAUGGGGCAUAAUUCCCGCCGAGUUAAAUAAUAAUUAUUGCAUUGAACAACAAUCUCACUAGCAGAAACAAGUAUAGAACAGGUGAACUUAAAAUCGUUCAGCUAAGCAAACAAGAACUCUUAGAAAAAAUUCUGACCUACCAUUCAGUGAGGAAUCGAAGACGUAUUGGAUUAACUUCAAGUCCUCUGGACUGGUGGGUUUGCUCACUGUAAACGGACCAACUAGAUAUUUAGACAUUUGCUUCACAAGUGAGUCAGAUCUCACAUUUAAGGAGACCAGAGAAGAACCAGAAAUCCCUUCCUUGCUCCUGCAAAUAUGGACGACAAGAACAAAUUGAGAAAAAUGAUCAUCCCAUAAAAUGUGAACAUUUUAUUGAAAUUGGUUUCAUGUUCACUGCCCUCCAUUCAAUUUCAGGUGACGAAAACUAUAGUUACAACAGAACAAUCACGUUCACAUGUUGUCAACGUGUAAGGCAUAUGCUAAUACCUUAAAAAAACAAUCUGGUUAAACGAAUUGAUACAAUAAUUGAUCAACGUUGCACCAUUAAGCUUAGGAAAUGCAAAUCAAAUUUAGCUUUUGCUAUUGUUUUAGCAUCAUUACAAGGGAAGUGUGUGACUUUGCAGCCAAAUUUCAUUAACAAAUAAUGGUAGGAAAAAAAUCAGGAAAACGAUGUUCAGAAAUUUAGGAGGAAAAUCAUUUUGGAAUCAAGAAGUGCACUUUCCUAUUGAUGUUCCACUCCACUAGCACAUUUUUCACAGCUUCAUUCAUAUAACCAUGUUCUAUAUUCCUGAAAGCCAAAAUCUUCUUAUUCAUCCUCCACCCAUCAUCAAUAAAAUGCAUGCUCAAGCAGCAGGACAUCUUGUUAUCACCGUAUGACUGCAAAUCAAUUGUUAAAUUAAAUAGAGAUGAGAGAUUAUCAAGAUAUUUCAUUAGUUUCUCUUUCUCUUGUCCGUAAAUAGAAAGAGCAUCAGCCUGAACAGUGUCUUGUGAACAGAGUUGAAACUUUAGCUGCAGAUCGCAGACAAAUGUUUUGAAGACCUCAUUUUGAACCAUAUCCAAUGGACAUCCGAGCUUCAUAGUCAUUCUAGCAAGGUUAAGGCAACUCCUUUCUUGAUCAAACACGAAAUUCCCUCCCAAGGCAAUGUAUGUUGUUUUGCAUCUCUCCGUCUCUUUUUUUGAACAACUUUUUAAGUGUUUGUGUAGAUUUGAAGUUCCCUUCUUGCUAUCCCCUGUAUACUUGUUUUUAAAUCCUUUACAUAUGGCCCAUACUGCACCAUUUUCUUCUUCAACCUUAUCGAACCAUUUCCACACUUCAGAUACCUUUCGUCAGCACAUAUGAUGAACAUAUUACCAUCAGGACCUGGAUAAAGUUCAAUUAUAUUAUCGUUUUUACUAACUUUAGAACCUCGUUUCCUAAGUAAUUCUUCUUUUGAAAACAUUCUCAAACUCUUACAAGUUUUCCGUAGUGUAAGCUUCAGGUUCCUAACCAAGUCUUGCUGGUCUGAACUCUCUCUUUCAUGAGGAUAGGGAGAAAGAACUCUAAUAUAUAGAUAUAACCAGCACCAGUGCUCCAAAGCCGGAUUGCAACUGCAGCAUUCAAAUUAUACUUUCGUGCGUGAUGAGCAAGAGGAUACUUGCUUACAUGAUUUUCCUUCGCAUCAAUAAAUUAAAUUAAAUUACAAUAAAAUCUGAUAAAGAAAGUCAAUAAUAUUCUAAUAAAUGAGUAAUUUAAAUAAAAUAAAAAAAUAGAUAAUAUAAAUCAAUAAAUUAAUGACAUGGAAAAAUAAAAAAUCUUGGAACAGAACUUCUCAAUAUAAGAGAAUCAUUAAAAGGUAAGAAGUACACAUAAAUCUAGUAACAACCUGGUUGUUCCCAUUACAAUAAGUCCUGAUAGACUCCUUUUGCGUUGCACGCUAAUGAAUCUAAACUAGUAAUUAACUAAUAUGAAUUCAAUAAUAAAAUAAACCCUUAAACAAUGUCUAACGCACUAGAAAAAAAAUUAAAUUAAAAAUAAUUAUUUAAAAUAAAUAAAAAAGAAUAAUAAAAAAGUCCUCAUGUUAGAAUUCCUUCAUGUAGUCCGAAUCUCUAAUUUUUAUAUAUUCUUGGCAGAUUUGAAUCCUGAUUUCAAACGUGUCAUUCUCUCUCAUUUGGAUGAAUUAUUGGGCCUACGAUAUAUGGUUGGAAAACUUUAGAUGUCUAGUUUCUAACUCAACUUCAAUCGAAGCAAAAUUCUACCGGUAGCUUCAGAUAUGUCCCAAACAGUACAAGAAGAUCUUUUUUGAUAUAUUUGACAAUAUUAGUUUACUAACUUUGAUCCUCUAAAAUAUUAUGUUCCCUAACUCUAUUUGACCUGAAAAUGUACCACAAUAUAUUUUUAUGUAUCUAAUAUUUUCGUGUAAAAUUUCAGUUUUAUCCAAUAUAUGGUUUGAAUGAUAUGUUCAAUCUCGCAAAACUAGUCAACAAACAUUUUAAGGUCAAAUUUGGACCUCACUUGGUUCAUAUCACAAAUUUAAUAAACUUGUAAAAUCAGACCAAGUUUACUGAUUUUACAAAUUUUGCAUGAGUUAAGUUUGAUUUUAUUAGUUUCAAGUUUUUAGUACAAUUUAGCAUGUUAAAUACAUAUUGACUCGUAAAAUUAAAAGAAAGAGGUGGAAUUUGUUGAUAAUCAGAUUCGGAGUCGUCAACCGAAUGUUAGAGUUUGAGAAAAGUUUGAUGCAGGACAAUAAAUAAUAAAAUUAAAGCAAGAACAGAAAGAAGCUUUAAAAAAGAAAGAAGCUGAAGAAGAGAAGAAAAGGGAUUGGAGAUAUGCAAAGUCUGCAAUAGUUUCAUUAAUCAUCCAAAAUUGUCUCUCAAGAUGACAGAAGAACAUAUAAAUAGUAAACCCUAAAACAUCCCGCUAUUAGGCGUGGCCCAUCAAAUCAAACUGUUUAACAUAAAUAAUAAAAUAACAAUGAGCAGGCCCAAAUAGGCUAAAUAAAUAAAAUAACAAUGAAAUAGGUCCAGAUGGGCUUAGUCUCCAAAUCAAAGCGUGACAGGCUGGGUCAUCCUACGUCGUCUUCGUCCAUAUACUCGUGUAGUUUGUGGUGUGGGUCUGGUGUCCCCAUCAACUCUCCCGGGGUUAGAGAAACUCGACCCUGUCGAGUGUAGCAUUGGCCGACUCUGAUAGUACUCUCAAAGAUCUGGAUCAAGCUGCUGCAAAGUAUCUCUAGUAAUCCAAGUGCAAUUUGAGUCAAGUCGACCCACCCAGCGAACUAGAAACCGUUCAACCUUGUUGUUACUCAUUUUUGGACCCCAUGUUUGUUGGAAGAUUGACAAAAGCAGAUGGAAUAAAUAUUUUUUUUGAAAACCCUGUUUGAGCUUUUUUCAGCUCUCUUUAUCCUUCCCCUUUGCUGCAAAAAAUCAUUAGGUUUUCUUAGGUUGAUCAGGAGUCUUCAUAAUGCUAAAUUCAUUCCUUUUUUAUUUGGUUUUUAAGGUUGAAUAAAUCCCUCAGAAUUUGCAAAAAAAACAAAUGGUUCUGUUGUUGUCACAAUUUUUUGUUCCAACGUAUGCUCUGAUUCUGACUCGGUUUCGUACGAUAUCUGACCAUCCUAGGUAUAUUUUGUCACUCAUGACAUGUUAAAAAAUUGACGUACACCUUUAUUAGGUCCUAGGGAUCAUUGUUCUUAGGGCAGACUCUCAGUCAGAUUUGGAUGCUUGGCAUUGUCAGAUCAAGAACCUUUUUUACCAACCAUAUUACUGCCACUCCUUCAUCAAAUUUGUAGUCCGGGACACGUAUAUGAAUUUGAACUUUCAAAUUGCUUGAUUUCAAUAUCAGAAGCUCAAGAUAUUCCUGUUUGAAAUCUAGCGUGAAAACAUAAAAUCCUGCCGCGAAAAGGUUUCCAGUCGAGUUUGGUUGCAAUUCUGUUAUUCAAAACGAAUUUAUCUCACUUUGAAUCCUUCAUCAAAGUUGUAUUCUGGGACACGUAGAUGAAUUUGGGCUUUUGAAUCGCUUGAUUUCAAAAUCAAAAGCUCAAGAUAUUCCCGUUUGAAUAUCUAGUGUUGAAAGCAGGGAUUCCUGGCCGCGAGAAGGAUUUUUGCCCAAGUUCGUGGGACUGAUUUGAAGGAUUUUUUUUUUACCAAGGACUGAAUUGAAAUGUGCUAAAAUGAGGGAUUGAAUUAAAGAAGGACAUUGAAAGCUGGAGAGGGGAGCUAGAUCAUCAUAAAUGACAUGUUUUUACCACACCGAAUAAGGAAAAUAGGACUUUGCAGUUGCACCCUCCAUCUGAUUUCUUUCCUUUUUUCUCUGCUAUUUUCCUUUCUCAUCACGCCUGAUUUUUGGAGCUGAAGACCACGUUUUUGUUGCCUCAUUUCAAAGGGAGCAGCUGGCCCUAUGGAAGGAAAGAAAAGAGCCACACCUUCCUCUAAAACUGGAAAGAAAUCAGACGUAAAGCACUAACACAAAAUCAGAAUAUUGCGAUUUUCUUUUUGCGUUUCUUUUACUGCAAAUCAGUAGGGAUUUGCGUCCUAGGAUUAAUGCAUUGAAUCCUUCCUAAAUAGAGACAUAUUUAGACUAUAUAUAAGCCCUUCUAAUGACCUAACGGGGGCAGCAAAAAGAGAGCAGAAAAAUAAGAAAAGAGAGGAGAGAAUAGAGAACGAGAGAGAGAGACAACAAAAGAAAAACCAGAAAGACGUCUUUGCUCCAUUUGUUUUUCUGCAAAUAAAAACUGCAGAAACGGGAAAAGAAAGUUAGGAAUCAGUAGAGAAAGUGAUGGAGGUGCAGAGUCAAGAAGGAGGCAAUAAGCAGACCUAAACACAGAACAGAAGAAGGACACAGACCGAACAACCAUCACUCUUUCAACGCCACUGCAGUUUCUUCGUCUCCAGGUUUGUUUUCUCUUCACCUGUUGCAUGCUUUGUUUUUCUUUGUGUGUGCACUGUUAGCGUGGUCUCGUUACUUUGUGUUGUUUUUGUGUCUGUACUGUUCAAGUAAAUUAAUUCACUUGAACAGUAGCUCUCCAUUCACAAAAGAGGACUGCGCCCCUUUUGUGUCCAGCCUGGUCACUUGCCUCAAUUCUUUUUAAAAAAAAAAUAAAAGAAAGAGAAAGAGAUUUAUUUUCUGGAAUAUUUAUUUUAAAUUCUGAAUAUUUUUUUAUGUUGUAAAAAAUAUAUAUACCAAUCUCGUAUUUAGAAUGCCAGGUUUUCGACGCAAUUGUGGCAAAUAUACAUAUAUAUAUCAAAAUUUGUUUUCUUGUGUGUUACAUACGGCUAAUACCCUAACAUGUUUUGAAUUUUUUUUAUACAAAAAAUAUUGGAAGUUUUGAAAAUGUGUUUUCGCAUGGAUUUCUUAAACACAAAAAAAAAUUUGUUUUCUUGCAUUUCUGGAUUUUACAACAUGUUUGUAAAACUCCAAAGGGUACUGGCCAAUAUUCCAAAAAAUAUAAAAAUCUUAUUUUGGAGGGAAUUCAUCUAUUAUUCACCGCUAAUGUUUGGAUAAAGAAAUCCUUAAAGGACAAAUAUGCAAAAUAUUAUUAGGAAUAAUUUGUUAUUAUUCACUGUUAAUAUUUGGAUAAAGAAACCCGGAGUGGUAAAUAUCCAAGAUAAUUUUCUAGGAAUAAUAAAUCCACACACAUCUUUGAAAGAAGCCUUGAUUAUAAUCGAGGACAUUUCAAAUUUUUUUACUCCACGAUUUACGAGUCGUGAAAGUAUAAAACACUAAGGCAAAAAUAGGCUUUUAAAGCGCCCUAGAUUUCUAAAUUUUUGUCCCUCCUCCUUGUGAUUUACGAGUCGCAAACUCUUGAAAUACUAAGGGAAAAAUGAGCUUUUGAAGCACAUGGAAUCUCCUUGGAUUUCUAUCUUAAUCAAUUUAGCUUGAAUCAAACCUAAGAAAACUGAUGGGAUUAGAAAACACCAACACCAUAGCAAUUAUAAAGCAAACCAAACACCAAGCAGCUUACCUUAGGUAGGGCAUACUAGGGGUGUUAAUACCUUCCCUUUACGCAACUAGUCUCUUGCCUUAGAAUCUCUGAAAGACUAGUUAGGGUUCCUAGUGACCAUAAUACUAGGUGGCGACUCCCCCUUUUACAUAAAUCAAAACAAAAAAGACCCCGAAAUCAAUCGAGGAUCGUUGCGCUCCACCGCGAGGGUGCGACAAACCUCACCAUUCCUGUUAAAAACAACUUGUUCAUCCAGAAUAGCAUCAAUAUUAUCUUUUUGUGCUGAUGUCAAGGUGAAAGGGAUAGAGGUUUCAAUAGGAUCAUUAGGAGGGGAGUUAAGUGGUAUCUCAAAUGGAUCAUUUGGAAUAGGAAGUGGUUUGUGGUAUGCAACUAGAUCCUCAAUGUUAAAUAUAGAGCUAAUGCCAAAAUCAUAUGGUAAAUCAAGAACAUAAGCAUUUGGACCAACCCGUUGUAGCACUUUGAAAGGCCCGGCACUACGUGCAUGCAAUUUUCGAUUAGCUCCCGAAGGAAACCGCUCGGGUCUAAUCCAUAUCAUAACAUAGUCUCCCACAUUAAACUCAUUAUGUCGUCUAUAUAAAUCAGCUUGAAGUUUAUAUUGCGCAUUACUUGCUUGAAUCUGUUUAGUGAUCUCAAUAUGCAAAUCCUGAAUUCUAUGUGCAAAAGACUCGGCUGACUCAAACACUCUAGCAUGAAGGGACAUGGGAAAAGGUCUAAAGGUUUCCUAGGUUUGUAACCAUGUACAACUUCAAAGGGACUCAUGCCUAUUGACCUAUUGAUAGAGCUAUUAUAGGCAAACUGGGUCGUAGGAAGAAUCAGAUCCCAAUUCCGAUUAUGAUCACUCACUAGACACCUUAAAAUGUUGCCCAAACUCCUGUUAACAACCUCAGUUUGACCAUCAGUUUGAGGGUGGUAAGCAGUAGAAAACUUCAAUUUGGUUCCCACCAUAUGCCAAAGGGUUUUCCAGAAAUAACUUGUAAAUCUAACAUCCCUAUCCGAAACUAUGGUUUGGGGAAGACCAUACAACUUGACAAUCUCGUCAAAGUAGAGUUUUGCAACUCUGGAAGCAUCUGUGGUCUUAGUACAAGGAAUAAAAUGGGUCAUCUUAGAGAAGCAGUCGACAACCACAAAAAUAGAAUCAUGUUUCUUUGCGCAAAAUCCAUGCUUACAUCUUGCCAAGGGCAAGUAGGAACGGGCAAUGGGAUGUAAAGACCAGUAUUUUGUUUUCUAUGCUUAGCUAAUUGGCAAGUUCGACGUUGACUUGCCAAUUUGGCGACAUCUCUUUUCAAACUAGACCAAAAAAACUGACGUUCCACCUCUUCGAUGGUUUUAUUCCUUCCAAAAUGUCCUGAGAGACCUCCAGCAUGAAUCUCCCAUAUCAAAAAAUCACGCAUGGAUGUUUUCGGGAUACAAAGCUUAUUAUCUCGAAAUAAAUAUCCAUCUUGGAGGUAAUAACCAUUUAUAACACAGUGAUUCUUAUCUUUCAAUGUCAAGUAUAUUUCUCCAAAUUCUAAGAAAAAAGGAGGAAUAACAUUGCCUGUGUUUUUCGUUUGUAAUCCAUUCUCACACCUUGCUUUGCGUCGUACUGUAGGCCUAGAAGAAUUGAAGAUUUAUUAUCAACAUUUGAGCAAAUUGAGUUUUGAGCUGUUGAAAUAAAAAAAAACCUCUGUCUUACACUGAAACAGAGACGUGCGUUUGUAGGCCUAGAAGAAUUUGUUAUGCUACCAUUCAUUUUCAUUGAAGCUAGAAUUUUCGACAUUGGAAAUCUCAUCUGGCAAAUCAACAAAAUUCUUCAUAUUUUCUGUGACCUGUAACUGCCUUUAGCCAUAUUACCAUCAUAGCUAUGAACAAAAACACCACUAUCGACUGCUACAACAUAGUCCAUGGCAGCUAGAUGGUUUUGGGAGUCCUUAUUUGGCUUCAAUUCUUCUUCCUUUUCCAGAGAGAAAUGAGCGUAUAUAUUUAGGUACUUAGCUCCGAGUGAUUUAAUUCCGUCACGACCAUAAUUUUUCCCUGCAGAAGUAAAUCCCAUCGCCUUAAGAAACACUGCAACUAAUCUCUGUUGUAGUCAUGGGGCAAAACCCUUCAAAUCACUGCUUUGUGCCUUUGAUCAUUUUGUUCUCCGAUGUGCUACUCCAUUUAUUCCGUUAACUCCUUAUUCUCAGUUUCUGUAAGAAUGUGAUGGCAACCUGUGAAAGCCAGCAUGCCUUUUUCAUAUCUCCAAUCGGUGCUGCUUAGUUAGCAAGAUCUAGCAAAGUUAUCGUGUCAUGUUGUUUUUUCAGGUGCCUCAAGGGAAGAGCCAUGAACGGUCGACCAUCAUUCCUGAGUCUUGAGCAGCUUUUUGCGAGGGAGUUCUGACCACAUUAAAUGAUUAUAAGAGUGUGUUUGGUAUUGUGGUAACUGUUGUGGUUGUGGUUUAAAAAAAGUUGUUUUAAAAAAAGUACUUUUAGUUGUGGUUGGUUUGAAAAAAUAGGUGUUUGGUUAAAACUGUGGUUGAAAUUGAGGUUGAAUAAAAAGUAAUUUAAUGUGUUUGGUUAAGAAUAAUUUUGAAAUUAAGGUUAUAAAAUAAUUUUAAAAAAUAUAUAUUAAUAUUGAUGGUUUUAAAUUUAAAUAUUGUAGAAUUAAUUACUCCUAUUACAUCAUGAAAUAAAUAAUACUUUAUAUAUAAUAUUUUUUAUUAUUCCAUUAAACUAUUUAUAAUUCCAUUACGUACAAAAUUUAUCCGAUAAGAACUACAGUUUUCAUAAUAUUUUGAACGUGUAAUAAAAUUAGAUAAAAUAUUACCAGGUAUAAAAUUGAUAUUAUAGUGCGAGUGAAUUUAAUUCACUAUAUACUAGUUUUUCAGGAAAAAAAAUAUUGUUCACAUCAUAGUGCGAAUAAAUUUAAUUUACUCUAAAACUAAUUUUUUUUUAUAUGUAUUAAAAAAAAAAAGUGUGUGAACAGUGCAAGUGAAUUGCACUGUUCACGUGAACAGUGCAAUUCAUGCUUGAACAGUGUGCGCUACACUGUUCAUGCUAAUUAAAUUUAGCGUGAACAGUGUCCACAAAGCAGCAAAAUGCUGCUUCUUUCUUUCCUGCGUCUCGGACGCGAAAAAUCAUGAGGCCCAUACACAGUAAAAUGUAUUCUUUUUGUUACCAAACGGGUUGCAUCUGCGUUUUAAACAAAACGCGGACGCAACCUAAUUGGCAAACGGGUUCUAACAAAACAUAGGGUACAUAUGGGUAGAUUUAGCCAUUUAGGGAUGUGACCCAGAAUAAUUCAUAUAAAGAAACACUUAAUAUGAAUUACAUUUAUUAAAUAAAAUUAUUUAACAUCAAUAUCAACUAUUUUAAUAAUCAAAAUCAUCAUUAAUGAUAUUCUUUUUCUAUAUUAAUAUAUUAAAACAAUAUGAUAUAAAAAUACUAAUAAAUUUUUAAUUUAAAAUAAAUAAUUUUUUUAAAAAUAUAAAAAUAAAUAAGUUGAGGGUAGGAUUGUUAACCUUCAUUUCACAUCAGUGCCUUCUUUUAUGGACCAAAACCCAGAAAAAAAAAUCUCAAGCUUUAUACACGGGCAAAAAAAGGCAGUCUUUACUUAUAUUUAGCUUUAUCCGCGUGCUUAUAUGUAUAAAGAAGACAAAUAUGGAGGUGGGUUUGGGGUGUUAUUGUUGAUAUUGGAGUGUGGAAGUGAUCACGGAGGCUUUGUAUACUGCAAAUUUUUGGAUGUCAUAUUACUAGACUGUCCUUGCUACUCAUAGAAAGGAGGUGAGUGAUGUACUAAUUAGACCAUGGAUGUUGAGAUAUUUGUUUAUUGGCUGCUGAAAGCUGAUAUAUCUUGAUUUCUUGGUGUGUGCAGGCGCAGGAUUGAAGAAAGUGAGGUUUUGCUUUCUGGGUUAUUUCUGUCGAAACAGGUAAAAGGUUAGGUUUUUCAAGUGUAAUUAUUGAGAUGUUUUUAGUUAUUCAAGAACAAAAAAAUGACUAAAGAGAGGAAAUUGAGCUGUUCUGUUUUGCGGGUAGAUAAAAAUCUGUGCAGAAAGAGUGAAACUUUGAAAGAUAUUAGGAAACGAAGAAUUGAGUUCUUUGUAUGGUAUUCUGAUUGAAAAGAGGGGAGAGUAUUUUGGUUAGUUAUAUAACUAACCAAAAUGGAGAACCCCUUCUCGUCGAAAGAAAUGUGGAUGGGUUAUUGGGCUUGGCCAAGAGCUCAAAUAGAUUGUGUCACACCUUUCGAUGUUUCUCUUAGGAAUUCAUUGUUGGAGGACCCAUUCAACUUUUUUUCAGAGCUUAGUAAUUUUGAUAUGUAUGCUGGAUGGUGCGACAGCCCGUUAGCUAUGGAUCAAAUGCUUGCUUUCGAUGGGAUGCCAUCUUUUCCAUCAACAUCCUAUCCAUCCUGCGUCCAGAAAGUUUUGCAGAACAAACUUCUGCUCCCUUACUGGAUAAAAUAAAUGCUUCUGAGACUUCUUACAAUGGUGGAGAUAAUGUGGUGCUUCAGGAAACGUAUUCCUAUUUUGGUUAUCCCUCAGAUUCCAUGGAUGCUGAUGAUCUGGGUGCAAAACACAGUAGUGGUGCUGGUCCACAAAACUGUUUCUAAAACACCUCUUGUAUUAUUUCUCAGCCAACUGGGCCAUCAUCACUUGCUGAGAGGAUGCUAAGGGCAUUAUCCUUGUUCAAGGAUUCAUCUGUAGGGGUUAUUUAAGUGCAGGUGUGGGUUCCCAUAAGGAGCGGGGAUCAAUACUUGUUGAGCACCUCAGAGCAACCAUUCUUGGUGUGACCAAAUUCUAGCAUGGUUUACCACUAGACCUUCCUGGUCGUCUGUUUAUCUCUAAGGUUCCAGAAUGGACUUCAAGGGUAAUUUAUUAUAGCAAGCCUGAGUACUUACGAGCAAAGCAUGCAUCUGAUCAUGAAGUACGAGGUUCUUUUGCAUUGAUCUUUGAUCCAGAUGAGAUGUCCUGCUGUGCUGUUCUGGAACUUGUCUCUGUGAAGGAGAAACCAGAAUUUAAUUCAGAGAUGAAAAUGUUUAGCUUCACUUUACUGUAUACUAUAUUGCAGAAGCUUUUGUUCUCUUCUAUCUUUAGAUGACAAAUUAUGUAACUUGACUAGCAACCUGUUUUCACUUAUUUGCAAUAACUUCGUGGUCUUGCAUAUUCUGCAUCGUUUAAGGAGAGAGAACAAAAUGUUGUUCAUAAAUAAGUUUCUCCCUUUAAGAUCCUCUUGUUCCAGCUUAUGCAAUAUAUUUGGAUUGGAGUCCAGCUUUAAGUACUUACUCUUGGUAUGUUGUUGAUAAAUAAGUUCCUUUCCCUUGCUACUAUGUUUUAGAACCAUAAUAUGCUGUAUUUUGAACAGGAAAUUGUUAGAUUUAUCUGCAUUUUUGCAAUAACUUCGUGGUCUUGCAUAUUCUGCAUCGUUUAAGGAGAGAGAACAAAAUGUUGUUCAUAAAUAAGUUUCUCCCUUUAAGAUCCUCUUGUUCCAGCUUAUGCAAUAUAUUUGGAUUGGAAUCCAGCUUUAAGUACUCACUCUUGGUAUGUUGUUGAAGAAUUACCUGGGGAACAAGGUUCUAAAGUUGGGAUUGAGGAAGGACCUGUACAAAGCAUCCCACCAGUAAAAACUGCAUUGUUUAAAGGGGACUUGAACUUGAUUGAUGGGAUUCCUCUUCCUGAAUCUGGUUCAGAAAAUGUUGGUGUGGAAUCGGAUGGUCCUUAUGUACAGGUAACAUUCUUAAACCACUUCAUCCAUAUUUGCGUCCCUUGUGUUUGGCCUUUUGUUUCGGUUCAAGUUGGCCUCAUUUGCAAGCUGCCUCCAGUAUUUGGCCAUGCCCAAUGCUUUUCAAAAAUUUGCUUGCUUAGAGGGAAAAAAAAGAUGAUACCCAAUAUUUUUAUAGCUCAGAAAGGGAUUUUAUGUAUUAGCUUACCUUUUCUGGCCCUCUUGCAGCUAGAAAAAACAAUGAUAAAAUUGAACCUGCUCCAGAUCCUGAUGGUAAACGACAAAAGGUAUCUGAAGUCUGGAAAGAUUUCGAUAAGUUUAUAGACAAAGAAAAUAAAGUAUGGGCCAUAUGUAAAGGAUGUAAAAAGAAGUAUACAGGGGAUAGCAAGAUGGGGACUUCAAAUCUACACAAACACUUGAAAAGUUGUUCAAGAAAGAGACAGAGAGAUGCAAAACAACAUAGAUUUCCUUCUGAUUUGGGAGGGAAUUUUGUAUUUGUUCAAGAAAGGAGUCGCCUUAACCUUGCUAGAAUGAUUAUGAAGCUCGGAUGUCCAUUGGAUCUGGUUCAAAAUGAGUUCUUCAAAACAUUUGUCUGCGAUCUGAAGCCAAAGUUUCAACUCUGUUCACAAGACACUGUUCAGGCUGAUGCUAUUUCUAUUUACAGACAAUAGAAAGAGAAACUAAUGAAAUAUCUUGAUAAUCUCUCAUCUCUAUUCAGUUUAACAAUUGAUUUGCAGUCAUACGGUGAUAACAAGAUGUCAUGCUGCUUGACUAUGCAUUUUAUUGAUGAUGGGUGGAGGAUGAAUAAGAAGAUUUUGGCUUUCAGGAGUAUAGAACAUGAUUAUAUGAAUGAAGCUGUGAAAGAUGUGCUAGUGGAGUGGAACAUCAACAAGAAAGUGCACUUCAUGUUUGCAGAAAUUGCUCCUCCAAACAGUCAAAUGACUAGAGAAUUCAGAAGUCAGCAUCUCGGUCAAUUCGCACAUAUGAAUUGGGACUAGCUAUGUUUUUCAUGCCAUGCACAACUCUUGAACUUGUUGCUGGAGAUGGGUUUUAUGAGAUAAAAGACGUGCUUAACAAGAUUAGGGGCUGUAUUGUAUAUGUGAAUGCAACACCAAUUAACCAAGAUAAGUUUCGGGAAGCAAUUAAUAAUGUGAAAUUGCAAGAUAUGAAAGCAGCCUCUCAUGAUGAUCCUACCACAUGGGAUGCCACAUUUGUCAUGCUCAUGAGUGCAUUGGAAUUAAGAGAAGCUUUUUCUCAACUCGAGCAAGUUGAUUUUGAUUUUAAGGUGAAUCCAUCCAAAGAGGAGUGGAAGAAGGCAAUGGUUGUAAGUGGGUGUUUAAAAGUGCUAAACAAAUAUUUAGGCAGUUCUUCAUCAAAGCAUAGAUGCAUUCUUCCUCAAUGUUUGCUAUAUUUAUAAGAACUUGCUUUCUUGGGGAAAGAGUGAGCACACAUAUGUUUGAAAUUACUCAAUUAAGAAAACCUUGUUAGCGUUUUUUUUUAGUCUAGAAAAACACAAGGAUGAAAUUGAAAACAAUUAAAGUAUAAGAAUAGAGGAAAAAUAUCAGUAAAUUUAAAGGGGCAGAAAAUAAGUUAGUUUUAAAACCCAAAGCCAAAAAUCAACAAGUCAACCUCCUUCAAGUCUGUAACCGCUCCUCAUCGUUCCACUUUCCAGCCAUGGAUAAGAUGAUCUGAGGAGUGAGAAGAAUUGUCGCGGACAAAAUUGUCGAAAUACAAAUGGAUUUGGAACAUUUGUCUUGCGUCGAUGAUGAUUUGCCUCCUGCAACGUCGAGUCUAUGGGAAAAGAUGGGAAAAGCGUUAUCGUUGCUUAAAAAUUCUUUAGGAAUCGGCCUGCAAAAUCUCCCUUACCCUCACUUGUGCGUCCCAAAUUCUACGCUUCUUGAAUAUCGUCAACUGGAGGGUAUUAUUGCCUUUCCGGUCUUUGAUUCUGAUCAACCCAUGCAUUGCCGUGCUGUGCUGGAGCUUGUGACCAUGGAUGAGAAACGGGAUUUUGAUUUAGAGACGGAAAAAGGUUUCCAGGUUUGUUUUCAUAUCCGGAUUUAGGAGAAUAAGAAAGAGAUGAAAGAAAGUAGCUUUCCUUAGCAUAUCGAGUUUGAAGUCAAAGUUAUUGUCUGUUCUACUUUCGAAAUCUCAUGAAAUGUGAAUUUUCCCCUCAGCUUCAUUUUCUGUGAUCUCUGUGUUUGCAUUUGCUAGUGUUUCUGAGGUGAAACAAUCUUUAAGCUUUAAAUUAGAGCUCAUGAGGCAUUCAGUAUUACAACUGCAUGCAUUAGCUUGAGUCCAAAAUAUUUGUGCCAUUAAAAUAUAUGGGCAAAGAGGCAUUGGUCUUGUUUGAUGGUGUUAUAAACUCUGUAUAAGCCCAACUGUUUGCAGGCUGCGGAUUUACGGAUCAAUUUACAACCUCGACUUCGUCCUGAGGUAUUUAUCAGUAGUACCUUACAGAUUUUUCUAUGCUAAAUUAGGUUGUCUUCUGCUUUGUCUAAUAGAAUUUUUUUUCCCAGUGUUUUUCAAGGGAUCAAAGAGCUGAGUUAACUGAAAUCGCUAAUGUUACCACAGCUGUAUGCCAAACACACAGAUUGCCACUUGCUCUGACAUGGAUUCCUUGUGAUUAUACCUGGGGAGCUGUUGAUGAUAUUUCAAAAUUGCGUGUCAGAUUACGUGAUUCAAGGAUGAUCCGGAAAUGUGUAUUUUUCAUAGAGCGUACAUCUUGUUAUGCCGAUGAGGAGAUGCAAGACUUUGUGCAUGCUUGUGAGCAACUAUUUAUGCACAGUUGGCAAGGUGCUGCUGGACGAGCCUUUAUAAAAUAUCUUCCUUCCUUUGAGCCUGAUGUGAAGGAAAAUCAUGUAAGCGAGUAUCCUCUUGCUCAUCACGCACAAAAGUAUAAUUGGAAUGCUGCAGUUGCAAUCUGGCUAAGGGGCAGUGAUGCUGAUUAUAACUAUAUAUUAGAGUUCUUUCUCCCUAUCCUCAUGAAAGAGAGUUCAGAGCAGCAAGGCUUGGUUAGGAACCUGAAGCUUACACUACGGAAAACUUGUAAGAGCUUGAGAAUGUUUUCAAAAGAAGAAUUACUCUGGGAACGAGGUUCUAAAGUUAGUAAAAACAAUGCUAAAAUUGAACCUGCUCCAAAUGCUGAUGGUAAUAUGUUCACCGUAUGUGCUAAUAAUAAAGACGAAAGGUAUCUGAAGUGCGGAAAUGGUUCGAUGAGGUUAUAGAAGAAAAUGGUGCAGGUAAAGGAUGCAAGAACAAGUAUACAGGGGAUAGCAAGAAGGGAACCUCAAAUCUACACAAACACUUAAAAAGUUAUUCAAAAAAUGGACGAAGAGAUGCAAAAACAAAUAUGCUUGUUCAAUGGCGAAGAGAAUGAAGUUAUCUGGCAUCACCUUCUAAGGACACCAGUUGUCUGACAUCACAUGAUCCAGAUUCUGAUGAUAAGUUUCGGGGAUUCUGUGAGUGGCAUAAGCAGAAAGAUGAUGGCGAUGUGGUUGAUUCACAAAAACUUGAUCUUAAUCGGUAUUUAGGAGAGCCUUUGGAAAACCGCGAUAAGGUUUCAGAUGUAUUAGCUUGGUGGCGAGUCAAUACUCCAAGAUUUCCAGCACUUGGUAAAAUGGCUCGUGAUUUCUUAGCAAUUCCAAUAUCAGCUAUUCUAUCAAAGUCUACUAUCAAUGGUUUCAGGCUUUAAUAUGUGGACAGGACUGGUUGGAAAGUCCCGAAAACAAUUGAGUUCUUCACUUUCUAGAGACAGGUGAAUCCAAAAUGAUUCUUCCCCCUAAAUUUCUAAACAUUGUUUUCCUGUUUUUUUUUUUUCCUGCCAUUAUUUGUUAAUGAAAUUUGGCUGCAAAGUCACACACUUCCCUUGUAAUGAUUAUUAACAGGGUCAUGAUGCUAAAACAAUAGCAAAAGCUAAAUUUGAUAUGCAUUUCCCAGUGUUGGGAUCAGUGGCCUAUUUACAGGGUAACAACGAGUCUCCUUCUAACUUCUCAACAGUUGGUUUUAUCAUUCCUAAUUAUUUGAUGAUUUAACAAGUAUAAACUGAAUCAUUCCAUAUCACAUGUCUAAGAAUGACUUAUUGGGCCUAUGUUGGGUUAAUUGAGUCCAUACAUAAGGUUCAUAAAAGAAUAUAUGAUUAUUAUUUGGACAAAUAAAAAUAAUCGGACCUUUACUUGGAUAAUCUAUGCCAUUUCGUUGCUUGUUAUUGCAUUCUGCAAUUUCUGCUACUAGACACGAGCUUUACUUGGCGUACAUUUUUUCUGUCAGUGUUUGUAUUUGUACUUGGCAUACAUUUUGAAGUCAAAGUUUUUGUCUUUUCUACUUUCAAAAUCUCAUAAAAUAAUUGGUAGACAUUGGUCUUGUUUGAUGGUGUUAUAAACUCUGUAUAAGCUCAGCUCUUCAUUAAUUUGGGUCUAUUUUGUUUCACCAGGCUUUGUUGUUCGCUUUGUGGGGGUUUGAAUAUGAAUACUGCUUGCAAGAAUUGUGGCUCCAUAUAUACUCGUGGGGCUUGGGUUGUGUUCAACCAUGGUUGUCCGUGGGCCCAAGAUUCAACCAUGGUUGUGCGUGGCCCAUAAAAUGUGAAUUUCCCAUAGACUGAGAAAUUCACAUUUUAUGAGAUUUUGAAAGUAGAAAAAACAAUAAUUUUGACUUCAAACUCGAUAUGCUAAGGAAAGCUACUUUCUUUCAUCUCUUUCUUAAAUCAUCGUCGACGGAAGACCAUGGUUGUGUUCAACCAUGGUUAAACAAUUGUGCGUGGGCUCAAGUAAACUCUCAUGAGCCCACGCACAACCAUGAUUAAAAAAUAUCAUUGAUAAUAAUUUUGAUUAUUGAAAUAGUUAAAAUUGAUAUUAAAUAAUUUUAUUUAAUAAGUAUAGUUCAUAUUAUGUAUUUUUUUAUUCCUUUAAAAAUACCUAAAAAUAGAUCUGAACACAAUUGUUUAAUAAGUAUAGUUCAUAUUAAAAGUAUGGUUACCAAUUGUGGAUAUGCGAAGGAAAGUAAAACCACAACCAUGGUUUUACAGCACUCAAGAAUCCAGUAUCGUGUUUUAGCAGCAUUUUCUCUUCAGAAUGUUGAUACGUUCCUUCCCAGCCAGCACUAGGACCCAAGCACCACGAGUGCGUGUAUAAAUAUAGCCACAAUUCUUGCAAGCAGUAUUCAUAUUCAAACCCCCACAAAGCAAACGACAAAGCCUGGUGACACAAAAUAGACCCACGAUCAAAUUAAUGAAGAGCUGAGGAAAGAGCUGCACUUACCGUAUACCAUAAGUAUUCUUGCAUAUAAACCUGAAUAUUCAGGUGAUUCUUUUCUCGAUAAAAAAACAGUCCAAAUCCUUGAGUGUCACUUUUUGUUCUUUCUUGUUUGCAACUUUUUUGGCAUUUUAUUCUGCCAAUUAACGUAAUUAUUGAGACACACGGUGGCAACUAUGGAAUCGAGGAACUCUCGCAGUGCUAUAAAUUGAUUCGGCGUUUUCUUUUCUAAAGCAUCGAAAUAUGCUCUUCAUCUACCUCUCUUCCUGAACGUUCAUCCACGUACUGACACACAGAUCUCCAUAAUCAGGAAAGAGCUGCACUGACUGUAUACCAUAAGUAUUCUUGCAUAUAAACCUGAAUAUUCAGGUGAUUCUCGAUCUGUUUCUUUUUUACAACAAUAAUUUAAGGUUUUUUGCAUUUUUUCCUGUGUGCAAAUAUUUCUCUCUGAGCUCUUGAGUUAAUUUGUUUCUCUCUGUGAAAAAACUAAAAAAGAAGAAGAGAGAGGAUUUACCAUUGUUUCUCUACGUUUCUCCAUUUUCUUUGUUCUUUUCUCUCUGUACAUCAUUAUUACAUUCUCCAUUCUACCACUUGUAGACUUGCUAUACUGCUGCCAGUAUUUAUUCUUUAAAUAUUUUUUUAAUUUAAAAACGGAAGUUUUUUUCGUUUCUUAUAAAUUAUUUCCUAGUCUUCUCAAGCUUUAUAGCAUACAGCACAGCAAAACCAUGGAGAAUGAUGCUCCAGAAUCUGUGUCCCGACUCUGGCACAGAGCACGACAACUAGCAUCACAGCAGCUAACACGUCUCGGAGAAGAUCUGGUCGACAAUCCCCAUGAUGAGCGGGAAAAGGAAUGGCAAAAGGUGCUUAUAAGCACUUGCUUCACAUCAGGAAUUGAAAUAGCCCUUCAUUUUCACCAAAUUACUGAUUCCAAACUCGAUUCCUUGCAUUUUGUCUGUAUCCUUGUUGCAAUUAUCUUUUCUUGCCUCUUUGUUUCACAUUUUAUCAACCCCGCCAAGUUUCCGAUGACAUCCAAAGUAUUGGGUAAAGUUGCUGUUUUCCUGGCAGCCACCGUGUUUUUCAUCACCAUUUCAAUCCCAUUCCCCCCUGGUGUCAAGUGGGCUACUUGGAUAAUCUAUGCCAUUUCGUUGCUUGCUAUUGCAAUCUGCAAUUUCUGCUACUAGACAUGAGCUUUACAUGGCAUAUGUUUUUUCUGUCAGUGUUUGUAUUUGUUCUUCGAAACAAGGCUUCCAUUUGCAUGUUGGAAGGUGUUGAAAUUCAGUGUAAUCACGGUGUUAUGUAUAACCAUUGAUCAAUACAAUAUAAUAUGUAGUAUCUAUGAGCUAAGAAUGUAGAAAGGACGUUAUCAUCAAGCCAGAUGUAUGGUCUCAUGGAGCAUAAUUCUCGCCGAGUUAAAUAAUAAUUAUUGCAUUGAACAACAAUCUCACUAGCAGAAACAAGUAUAGAACAGGUGAACUUAAAAUCGUUCAGCUAAGCAAACAAGAACUCUUAGAAAAAAUUCUGACCUACCAUUCAGUGAGGAAUCGAAGACGUAUUGGAUUAACUUCAAGUCCUCUGGACUGGUGGGUUUGCUCACUGUAAACGGACCAACUAGAUAUUUAGACAUUUGCUUCACAAGUGAGUCAGAUCUCACAUUUAAGGAGACCAGAGAAGAACCAGAAAUCCCUUCCUUGCUCCUGCAAAUAUGGACGACAAGAACAAAUUGAGAAAAAUGAUCAUCCCAUAAAAUGUCAACAUUUUAUCGAAAUUGGUUACAUGUUCAGUGCCCUCCAAUCAACUUCGGGUGACGAAAACUAUAGUUACAACAGAACAAUCACGUUCACAUGUUGUCAACGCGUAAGACAUAUGCUAAUACCUUAAAAAAACAAUCUGGUUAAACAAAUUGAUACUAUAAUUUAUGAACGUUGCACCAUCAAGCUUAGGAAAUGCAUAUCAAAUUUAGCUUUUGCUAUUGUUUUAGCGUCAUGACCCUGUUAAUAAUCAUUACAAGGGAAGUGUGUGACUUUGCAGCCAAAUUUCAUUAACCAAUAAUGGCAGCAAAAAAAAAACAGGAAAACAAUGUUCAGAAAUUUAGGGGGAAGAAUCAUUUUGGAUUCACCUGUCUCUAGAAAGUGAAGAACUCAAUUGUUUUCAGGGCUUUCCAACCAGUCCUGUCCGCAUAUUAAAGCCUCUAUAUGAUCUCUGGCCUGAAACCAUUGAAUGCAACUGCACCGCUGAUAGUAGACUUUGAUAGAAUAGCUGAUAUUGGAAUUGCUCAGAAAUCACGAGCCAUUUUGGAUUCACCAAGUGCUGGAAAUCUUGGAGUAUUGACUCGCCACCAAGCUAAUACAUCAGAAACCUUAUCCCGGUUUUCCAAAGGCUCUCCUAAAUACCGAUUAAGAUCAAGUUUUUGUGAAGCAACCACAUCGCCAUCAUCUUUCUGCUUAUGCCACUCACGGAAUCCCAGGAACUUAUCAUCAGAAUCUGGAUCAUGUGAUGUCAGACAAGUGGUGUCCUUAGAAGGUGAUGCUAGAUAACUUCAAUAUCUUCGCCAUUGGACAAACAUAUUUGUUUUUGCAUCUCUCCGUCUAUUUUUUGAAUAACGUUUUAAGUGUUUGUGUAGAUUUGAAGUUCCCUUCUUGCUAUCCCCUGUAUACUUGUUUUUGCAUCCUUUACAUAUGGCCCAUACUGCACAAAUUUCUUCUAUAACCUUAUAGAACCAUUUCCACACUUCAGAUACCUUUCGCUGUUUAUUAUCAGCACAUAUGAUGAACAUAUUACCAUCAGGAUCUGGAGCAGGUUCAAUUUUAUCAUUGUUUUUACUAACUUUAGAACCUCGUUCCCCGAGUAAUUCUUCUUUUGAAAACAUUCUCAAGCUCUUACAAGUUUUCCGUGGAGUAAGCUUCAGGUUCCUAACCAAGUCUUGCUGCCCUGAACUCUCUUUCAUGAGGAUAGGGAGAAAGAACUCUAAUGUAUUGAUAUAAUCAGCAUCAGUGCUCCUUAGCAGGAUUGCAACCGCAGCAUUCUAAUUAUACUUUCGUGCGUGAUGAGCAAGAGGAUACUCGUUUACAUGCUUUUCCUUCACAUCAGGCUCAAAGGAAGGAAGACAUGUUUGACAGGCUUGUCCAGCAGCACCUUGCCCUGUGUUCAGAAAUAGUUGCUCACAAGCAUUCACAAAGCCUUGCAUCUCCUCAUCUGAAUAACAAGCUGUACGCUCUAUUGAAAGUUCACAUGUCCUCAAAAAACCUGAAUUACAUAAUCUGACAUGAGAUUUUGAAAUAUCAUCAACAGCUCCCCAGGUAUAAUCACAAGGAAUCCAUGUCAGAGCAAGUGGCAAUCUGUGUGUUUGGCAUACAGCUCUGGUAACACUAGCGAUUUCUGUUAACUCAGCUCUUUGAUCCCUUGAAAAACACUAGGAAAAAAAUUCAAUUAGACAAAGCAGAAGACAACCUAAUUUAGCAUAGAAAAAACUGUAAGGUACUACUGAUAAAUACCUCAGGACGAAGUCGAGGUUGUAAAUUGAUCCGUAAAUCGGCAGCCUGCAAACAGUUGGGCUUAUACAGAGUUUAUAACACCAUCAAACAAGACCAAUGUCUCUUUGCACAUAUAAUUUAAUGGCAAGCUAAUGCAGUUGUAAUAAGGAAUGCCUCAUGAGCUCUAAUUUAAAGCUUAAAGAUUGUUUCACCUCAGAAACACUAGCAAAUGCAACACAGAGAUCACAGAAAAUGAAGCUAAUGGGGGAAAAUUCACAUUUUAUGAGAUUUCGAAAGUAGAAAAAAUAAUAACUUUGACGUCAAACUCGAUAUGCUAAGGAAAUCUACUUUCUUUCAUCUCUUUCUUAUUCUCCUAAAUCCUGAUAAUAAAUUGGGUAGUAUUUUCAACGUUAUCCAAAAUCUGAUUGAAAAAAUAUAUGUAAUGAAAACAAACCUGGAGAGCCUGGGAAGCUUUUUCCGUCUCUAAAUCAAAAUCCUGUUUCUCCUCCAUGGUCACAAGCUCCAGCACAGCACGGCAAUGCAUGGGUGCAGCAGAAUCAAAGACCGGAAAGGCAAUAAUACCCCUUACUCCACAAGAGAUGGCAUCUGAUAGGUGUGAGUAUUCACUCGGUCUGUAAUAGCGUACAUUUGAACUCCAUUCUGGAAAUCCACAAUUCCAUUCCCGAGCAAAAAGCUCCGGACAUGAAAGCCCUUUCCGACCCUCCAGUUGACGAUAUUCAAGAAGCGUAGAAUUUGGGACGCACAAGUGAGGGUAAGGGAGAUUUUGCAGGCCGAUUCCUAAAGAAUUUUUAAGCAACGACAAUGCUUUUUCCAUCUUUUCCCAUAGACUCAACAUUGCAGGAGGCAAAUCAUCAUCGGCGCAAGACAAAUGUUCCUAAUCCAUUUGUAUUUUGACAAUUUUGUCUGCGACAAUUCUUCUCACUCCUCAGAUCAUCUUGUCCAUGGCUGGAAAGUGGAACGAUGAGGAGUGGUUAAACACUUGAAGGAGGUUGACUUGACUUCUAAUUUUGAUAAUAACUAACGAGGAAGCUUCCUCUGGCACACUUUGCUCCAUCAGUUUUCAUCUCUCCAUGUUUUACAUGGGUGUUACAUUUACAGGCUACAAGAACAAGAAGUUUCAUCAGGGUAAAAAAAACAUAAUAUCAAUUGACAAAAGCCAAUAUAUUUAAAACUGUUAGUUGCAACAAAAGGGUUUUCUGCAGAUCCAUACUAUUUCCACAGUUUUUCGCGUUUGUAAUAAUUUUUUUUCAAGAUCCAUUAUAGGGACCGAAACAAAAGUAAUUCAUUUUUUUCAUCUCAACUUUCCAGGUGAGAUGAAAAAAAUCCGCUAAUCUUCUUUUCUUGCCCCGGUUUUGUAUCUGCCAUAGCUCAUAACGUAUGCAGCCAUUUACCAAGUUAUGCAGUCGCCUGUCAACCCAAUCACUCUGACAUGAUGCAGCUAAUGAAUCCCAUAUCUCAACAACUUGCCUUUUCAAUUGUAGAACAAAUAGAAAGAAAUGACUUCUUUUCUCGUCAAAGACAGGAACAAACGCCUGCAGCAUAACUAAGCAUGGGAUGCAUUAAUUGGACUAAAAAAAACCAAACUUCACCUUUCCACAGCAUAAAAGAUCUGACAUGUAGUUUUCCUUGAUCCUGUGCUGUGCUUUUUCGCGAAAGAAAUACACUUAGAUGGAUCAUCUGAAUUCCCCUGUACAACACAUGAGCAUAAGGAAAUUCUGUUUUUUCAUGUAGUGGACUUGUAAAAUUGAACAGAAUAAUAAGAUGUCAGUUGUCCAAAUAUGAUCUUGGAAGUGUGAUUUUGGGGCCGGGGAUUUGCUGUCCACAGUAGAAAUAAAAAAUAGACGAAAUACCUUUUUUUUUUUUAGUAUCGAAUUAUUUUUAAAAUAUCGAAUUUUAUUAAAAUAAUGUUUUAAAAUAUUUUAAAAUAUCGAAUUAUAUUAAAAUAAUAUUUUUAAAAUUUUUAAAAAUUAUUUUUAAGAUGAAUACAUCAAAACAAUUCAAAAUAUAUAAAAAAAUUAAUUUUUAACCAAAAAAAAUUAAAAUUUUUAAGAACACAAACACAACCAUAUUUUCAAUAACUCACAAAAGAUUUUGAGAAAAGUCAAUCGAACUUGUAUUUUUUAAUUGAGAUAACAAAGCCCACCAUCUCACUCUCAAUCCAUGGAAACUAUUGAAAAUAAUGCUGAGUAGCAAAAAGUACUGGGAUAUGACUUGCCAUGUUUUGGAAGAUAAAUAUCUCAUAAAUUUAUUAGAGAUAUAUUUUUCAUUUCAUUUAAAUUACAUUUAAAACAUUUAAUAAUAGUAAAAUAUUGAUUUUUUACGAAAGCUCAAAAAAUUAUAUAUAUCUCAAAAAAUUAAAAAUGAUGUUAUAUUAAAUAAACUUAAUAAUAAUGAAUAUAAUAAUUAAUAAAAAAACAUAAUUACUCAUCAUCAUAGAUAAAAAUGAAUCAAAUCAAAUGAAAACAAUAAAAAUAUUUUAAUUAAAAAAUAAAGUAAAAAAAUUUAUCAAUUUACAUCUGCUACAAUUAAAAAUAUUAUAAUUUUGCAAAAUUUUUAAAAUUCUUGUGAAUGUCAAAAAUCUGAAAAGAUAAAAUAUAAUCUAAAUAAGAAUGUUAUCAUCAAGUUUAGGAAAUGCAGAUCAAAUGUUAGCAAGGUUGAUCCCAAACACCACACAGAAAGACAAAAGAGGAUUUCAGCUUUUGAUAUUGUUUUGAGCAUCGUGACCCUGUUAAUAAUCAUUACAAGGGAAGUGUGUGACUUUGCAACCAAAUUUCAUUAACAAAUAAUGGUAGGAAAAAACGAUGUUCAGAAAUUUAGGGGAAAAAUCAUUUUGAAACCACUUGUCUCUAGACAGUGAAGAACUCAAUUGAUAAAAAUUUCCUGGUGGUGAAGUUUCAUCAGCCUAGCAAAAGAGUUUCACGAUGCCUUUAUCGGAUUGGCUUUAGGGAAAAAGGGAGUGGUUUUAAAGACGGUGUUCUUGAAGUGGAAAGGAAUGGUGUGGUUUUAUUGAAAGAAAAUACGAGGGAGAUGGAGACUGGAGGUGGAGGAGAGUGUGAGAACAAGAGAGAGAGGCAUGAUGAGGAGCCUAAGUUUACUGUCAUUUUUCCAAAUACAUUUGACUUCAAACUCAAUAUGCGAAGGAAAGCUACUUUCUUUCAUCUCUUUCAUAUUCUCCUGUUUCUCCUCCAUGUCAUAAGCUCCAGCACUUCACAGCAAUAACACUACACUGUAGCAGCCGGGAAAACCAGAUGUAUGUUUUUUUUGUUCCAAGAACUCAUUUUUAAUCUAAAAUAUUAAUAAAACAUUCUAGGCAUCUUGAUCAACCAAUUCAUGAACUCAAAAAGUCCAAAACCAUUCUGAAACUGGAAAUCAACUUGAAAUAAAAAAAAUUUCCGAGUUUAGAUUUAUUUUUUUAGAUACUUUUAAAAUAAAAAAAAACCAUUUAAUAUGAAUUACAAUCAUCAAAUCAUCAAAUGAAAUCAUGAUAUUCCCAUAGAUUGUCUGAAUACUUUCUUUCAUAUUGAUGAUUUACGUCUUUCAUAUUCUCAUUUCUUGCCAAAAAUUCUCUAUGAUUUCCAAACCUCUGCUCAUAAUAUGCCUCAGCCUUGGAAGCCAAAUUAUUCCUGCAUGAGUUGACAUCACUCGCUAGCAAUCUUAGUACCACUUCCAACCUCUCGUUAUCGCUUUCGAACUGCAUGUUGGCUAGAUAAUUAGAAAGAUUGUCAUACCUUUAUCUUCAGUAAGCGCACAUUAAUGUUAAAAUAUUACCAAAAAAUCAGGACUCGUCACUUCUUCUGGUGCUAGCAUAAACUUGAUAACAUAUACACCACAGUCGUAUCUGCACAGAAAGAAAUCAUGUCAACUGAUGUGGCUUACAGUAUUUUAAAGGUACUCAACAAUAUGUAACCUAACUACUCAAUAUAUUGUGGAUCAUAAAUAUAUAUAUACAUACCCAUUUGGUUGCUGUGGGACAUUCGAUGGUCUUUCCACUCUGAAAUCUGUGAAGGACCAAACAUUUUGGUAGUUCUGAUGUAUAUCAUCUUUGAAAAGGGCGUCCAGGCUAACCAACUGGUUUGUGAAAAUGUUUUGGCAGCAAAAAGUUCAUAAAGCCCAUUAGUACAGUGGUUAACUAGGGUUGCAAGGUAGCUCAUGGAGUAUGCAGCCAUUUACCAAGUUACGCAGUCGCCUGUCAACCCAAUCACUCUGACUUGAUGCAGCAAUUGAAUCCCAUAUCUCUACAACUUGCCUUUUCAAUUGUAGAACAAAUAGAAAGAAAUGACUUCUUUCCUUGUCAAAGACAGGAACAAACGCCUGCAAAUAUAGUUUUCACAGCAUAACUAAGCAUGGGAUGCAUUAAUUGGACUAAAGAAAACCAAACUUCACCUUUUCACAGCAUAAAAGAUCUGACAUGUAGUUUUCCUUGAUCCUGUGCUUUUUCGCGAAAGAAAUACACUUAGAUGGAUCAUCUGCAUUCUCCUGUACAACACGUGAGUAUAAGGAAAUUGUGUUUUUUCAUGUAGUGGACUUGUAAAAUUGAACAGAAUAAGAUGUCAAUUGUACAAAUAUGAUCUUGGAACCUACCGCAAAAACAAUUGGCAGAUACCAAUUUACAGAAUCUUCUAUCUUCCUCUUAACUAAAGUCAUGGCAUCAGAUAUCGUAGAAAGGACGUUAUCAUCAAGCCAGGUCUCUGGUCUCAGAGAGUAUAGUUCCCUCCGAGAUAAAUGAUAAUUCUUGCAUUGGACAAUAGUCUCACUAGCAGAAACAGGUACAGAAUAGGUCAACUGGUGAACUUAAAUGCAUUCAGCUAAGCAAACUAUAACUUGGGGGAAAAGAAUCUGACCUCUCACUCAGUGAAGAAUCAAAGACAUAUUGGAUUAACUUUAAGUCCUCUGGACUGGUAGGUUUGCUCACUGUAAACGGACCAGCCAAAUAUUUGGACAUUUGCUUUCCAGGUGAGUCAAAUCUCACAUCUGUGGAGACCAGAGAAGAACCAGGCUUCCCUUCCUUGCUGCUGCAAAUAUGGAAGACAAAAACAAAUUGAGAAAAAUGAUAAUCCCAUAAAAUGUGAACAUUCAAUUUCGGGCGAUGAAAACUAUAGUUACAAAUUGAUACUGUAAUUGAAAUUACAAGGUUGCACCAUUAAGCUUAGGAAAUGCAAAUCAAAUCUUAGCAUAGUUGAUCUUGUUAAUAAUCAUCACAAGGGAAGUGCGGGACUUUUUCUUCCUGCACUUUGCAGACCAAAUUUCAUGAAACAAAUAAUGGUAGAAAAAAACAGGAAAAUGAUUUUCAGAAACUUAGGAAACAAAUCAUUUUGAAAUUAUUUGUCUCUAGCCACCAACCUAUUAUACACUAUACUAAAAGGGAUCAGUACCUUUAUUACUAUUUAUCUAGAUACAAAGCACUGUAGAUUGGAGCAGUAUAAUGACAGAGCUGCUCUUGCCAUAUAGAGUUGCAAGGAAAUCGGCGGGUUGUCUUUUCAGUGGGAUACAUAUGGCAUUAAAGGGAUGGUUGGGAAGAAAAUGAUCGGUUCUAAUUUUAGUGGGGUUGUAGGCCCCAGGCUGUAGACACUUGGUGUUAGGCCCGACAAGCCCUGAGCGCUAGGGCCAGACCCGCACGCCACGUGGGGCAGCAGGCCCCGAGCUGGAGACACUUAGCACUGGGUCCAACCGCGCGCAUGGCUACAGACCCGCAUGCCUAGAGUUUGGAGACCUGGGCGCCUGGGUUUGGAGACCGCGCGACUGGGGUCUGCAAAGCCCCCCAAGGCUCUAAGACAGCGCGGCUAGGUCAGCAGACCCAUACACCCUAGUUUGACUGUCUACUAACUGACAUCUGGGUCUGCAGACCACGCAAAGAGGAAUAACAAAUUCAAAAAAAUUGAAAAACGUGAAUAUCAAAUUUAAAAAACAACCACAGAUUUUAUUUAAAAGGUAAAAAUAUAAAUUACUAUUUUUAUUAUUAUAAUUAAUAAAUUUGAAAUAAAAUAUUAUUGUAAACAAAGAAAAACCAUUUAGUUGAUUUGAGGGAUAAUAAUAAUAAUAAUAAUAAUAAUAAUAAUAAUAAUAAUAAUAAUAAUUGUGCUAUAAAUAUUAUUAUUUUAUUAUAAUUGAUGAUAUUAAUAUUAAAAAUAGAAUUAUUUGUGGUAUAAAUAUUAUUAUUUUUAUUACAAUUCAAAGUAUUAAUAUAAAAAAUAUUAUAUUUGUGGUAUAAAUAUUAUUUUUUUUAAUUAUAAUUGAAAGUAUUAAUAUUAAAAAUAGUAUUAUUUGUGCUAUAAAUAUUAUUAUUUUAUUAUAAUUCUCUUGGGUCUUGCGUUAGGAUCCAAUCCUGUUAGGUCCAGUGUCGAGACAAAUUAGCCUUGGGUCAUGCGUUAGGACCCACGUCUCAUGAUCCGGAUACUGGACCUAACAUAAUUGGGUUCAGUGUCGGAACCCAACAUAAUUGGGUCCGAACACAGGACUCAAGGCUAAUGGGUCUUGAUGCAUAACCCAACAAAAUUGAGUCCCACCACCGGACCCAAGCCUAAUGGGUCCAGACACAUGACCCAUUAGACUUGGGGCCGAUGUCGGGACUCAAUUCCUUACUUUUGUAUUAAAAAAAAUUUAGAAGCGCAUAUGGCAUACAUUGUUUGGUGUACUAUAAAAGCAUACAUUACUAUUCUAUGUAUUGGGUUGUCUAAUUAUGUUAAACCUUGUAUCAUGCAGUAAAAAUGUUAAAUAUUAUUUUAGAAUUAACAAAAUCUAUUCCAGGCUUCAAGUUUAGAAAAUGUUGUUUUUUCACAUUUGUUUUUAAUCGUUUGGUUAGGGGUUUUUUGUCUUUUUUUUCACUAUUCUAAUGGUGCUAGGACUUUGUUACUACUAAAAAAAACUUGAAUUUGAUUUCAAACAUAAAAUUAAAAACUAUAAAAACUUUAAAAAAAAAAAAAAUUUGACCUCACAUUGUUUUGGACAUGAUAGACAUCUAAGUUCAAGAUGCUAGGACUUUGUAGUUGGUCAAGUCCAAGGUAUAAAUAUUGUUACGUUACCAUUUCACUGGAAUGCAUGUAGCAUUGAAAAAUGAUUAUGUAGAAAAUGAUCAGCUCCAGUUUUGGUGGGACUACAGGCCCUAGACUGCAGACAUCUAGGGCUGGGGCUGGCAAGCCCUAGGCGCCCACGCGCCACGUGGGGUUGCAGGCCCCAAUUUGCAGACACAUGGCGCUAGGGCCAGACCCGCGCGCAUGGCUAGCUGCAAAUCCAGGUGAGUGGGUUUGAAGACCAGCUCAGGACGCCUUAGUCUUGGGUCCUGCGUCCGGACCCGGGUCUCUUGGGUUCUGCGUCGGGACCCAAUCCUCUUGCAUCCAUUGUAUUUCUAAAUAUAAUUAUUUGUGUUAUAAAUAUUAUUAUUUUUCUUAUAAUUAAUAAUAUUGUAAUUAAAAAUAUUAUUAUUUUUAUUAUAAUUAUUAUUAUUAAUAAAAUAAUUAAUAAAUUAAAAAAACAUUAUUAUUAUUAUUAUUAUUAUUAAAUUUAAAAAAUACUAUCAUUACUAUUGAAGAAAAAACAUCAUUUUUUAAAAAGAUUAAAAAAUAUAAGAAUUUGAGAAGACAAGUUAAAUAUUAUUGUUUGGUCUAGUGUUAUAGUCAAACUCAACACUCUUGGGUUCGGCAUUGUAACCAGACUCGACACUCUUGAAUUUUAAAUUUUUUUAAUAAUUUUUAUGAAAAUAAAAGGUUAAUUCACGUAGUAACGGGAUCCAAGUAAUAAACUAAACAACCAACUUACUUGUUUUCAGGGCUUUCCAACCAGUCCUGUCUACAUAUAAAAGCCUCUAUGGUCUCUAGCCCCAAACCAUUGAAUGCUGGAUUCACCUUUGUAGCUUCACCGCUGAUAGUAGACUUUGAUAGAAUAGCUGAUAUCGGAAUUGCUACGAAAUCACGAGCCAUUUUACCAAGUGCUGGAAAUCUUGGAGCAUUGACUCGCCACCAAGCUAAUACAUCUGAAACCUUAUCCUGGUUUUCCACAGGCUCUCCUAAAUACCGAUCAAGAUCAGAUUUUGGCGGAUCAACCUUAAGCCACUCACAGAAUCCCAAGAACUUACCAUCGGAAUCCAGAUCAUAUGAUGGCAAACAACUGAUGUCGCUGGCAGGUGAUGCUAUAUAACCAGUGGCAUUCGCAUAACUGUUGUACAUACAUGUAAGUUUGCUACGAAAUUCCAGCAAGUAUUUGCUAGCAUCACUGCCAUACAUCAGCAAAAACCCAUACUGCACAAAUUUAAGUUUACAGCGCGGGUCGAGUACUAAUAGGAUUCCAAAUGCAAAACUCCAUUCACUCCAAUGCCUAUCAAGAUUCACCUUCAUUCUCUUCGCCAUCGAACAAACAUAUGCAUGCUCACUCUUUUCCCACGAAAGCAAGUUCUUAUAUAUAUAGCAAACAUGGAGGAAGCAUGCAUCUAUGCUUGAUGAAGAACUGCCUACAGAUUUGUGGAUCACUUUUAAACACCCACAUACAAUCAUCGCCAUCUUCCACUCCUCUGCAGAUGGAUUCACCUUAAAAUCAAAAUCAACUUGCUCGAGUUGAGUAAAAGCUUCUUUUAAUUCCAAUGCACUCAAGAGCAUGACAAAUGUGGUAUCCCAUCUGGUAGGAUCAUCAUGAGAGGCUGCUUUCAUAUCUUGCAAUUUCACAUUAUUACUUGCUUCCCGAAACUUAUCUUGGUUAAUUGGUGUUGCAUUCACAUAUUCAAUACAGCCCCUGAUCUUGUUAAGCACAUCUUUUAUCUCGUAAAACCCAUCUCGAGCAAGAAGUUCAAGAGUUUGUGCGUAGCAAGAAAAACAUAGUAAGUCCCCAUUCAUAUGUGGGAAUUGACUGACAAGCUUGCUUCUGAAUUCUCUAGUCAUUUGACUGUUUGGUGGAGCAAUUUCUGCAAACAUGAAGUGCACUUUCUUAAUGAUAUUCCACUCCACAAGCACAUCUUUCACAGCUUCAUUCAUAUAAUCAUGUUCCAUACUCCUGAAAGCCAAAAUCUUCUUAUUCAUCCUCCAUCCAUCAUCAAUAAAAUGCAUGGUCAAGCAGCAGGACAUCUUGUUAUCACCGUAUGACUGCAAAUCUAUUGUUAUACUGAAAAGAGAUGAGAGAUUAUCAAUAUAUUUCAUUAGUUUCUCUUUCUCUUGUCUGUAAAUAGAAAGAGCAUCAGCCUGAACAGUGUCUUGUGAACAGAGUUGAAACUUUGGCUGCAGAUCGCAGACAAAAGUUUUGAAGAACUCAUUUUGAACCAUAUCCAAUGGAAAUCCGAGCUUCAUAAUCAUUCUAACAAAGUUAAGGCGACUCCUUUCUUGAUCAAACACGAAAUUCCCUCCCAAAUCAGAGGGCAAUGUAUGUUGUUUUGCAUCUCUCUGUCCCCUUUUUGAACAACUUUUUAAGUGUUUGAGUAGAUUUGAAGUUCCCUUUGUGUUUUCCCCUGGAUACUUCUUUUGACAUCCUUUACAUAUGGCCCAUAUUGCACCAUUUUCUUUGUCUUUAACCUUAUCGAAAUGUUUCCACACUUCAGAUACCUUUCAUCGUUUAUUAUCAGCACAUUCGAUGAACAUGCUACCAUCAGGAUCUGGAGCAGGUUCAAUUUUAUCAUUGUUUUUACUAACUUUCGAGCCUCGUUUCGUGAUGAAUGGUUUUUCUGAAAACAUUCUCAAGCUCUUACAAGUUUGCUUUAUUGUAAGCUUCAGUUUCUCAACCAAUUCUUGCUGCUCUGAACUCUCUGUCACGAGGAUAGGGAGAAAGAACUCUAAUAUAUAGAUAUAAUCAUCACCAGUGCUCCUUAGCAGGAUUGCAACCGCAGCAUUCAAAUUAUACUUCCGUGCGUGAUGAGCAAGAGGAUAGUCCCUUACAUGCUUUUCCUUCACAUCAGGCUCAAAGGAAGUAAGACAUGUUUGACAGGCUUGUCCAGCAGCACCUUGCCCUGGGUACAGAAAUAGCUGCUCACAAGCAUGCACAAAGCCUUGCAUCUCCUCAUCUGCAUAACAAGCUGUACGCUCUAUUGCAAGUUCACCUGGCCACCAAAAACUUGCAUGACCUAAUUUUAAAAUAUCAUUAUCUCCCCAGGGAAUCCAUGUCAGAGCAAGUGGCAAUCUGUGUGUUUGGCAUACAGCUCUGCUAACAUCAGCGAUUUCAGUUAAGGCAGCUCUUUGAACCUCAUUAAAACACUGGGAAAAAAAUUCUAUAAGACAAAGCAAAAGACAACCUAAUUUUGCAUAGAAAAAACUAUAAUGUACUGAUACAUACCUGAGGACGAGAUACUAGUAAUUUGGUCCGUAAAUUCGCAGCCUGCAAACAGUUGGGCUUAUACAGAGUUCACAACACCAUCAAAGAAGACCAAAUGGGAACGCAGAGAUCACAGAAAAUGAAGCUAAGGGGGAAAAUUCACAUUUUAUGAGAUAUCAAAAGUAGAAAAGACAAAAACUUUGACUUCAAACUCGAUAUGCUAAGGAAAGCUACUUUCUUUCAUCUCUUUCUUAUUCUCCUAAUUCCUAUUCUUGCGGCUGUUAGGUUGUUAGAGUUAUUGUUGAAAUUGUCAAACUUCAUUAAGUUAAUAAUCCCUACUAGUUGGAAUAAGAGUCUAACUGUUUUCUUUAACUAUUUACAGUAUAAAAAGUGAAGUGGGUUGUUUUGUUUCAAUCUUAUCUCUUUGUAAUGCCAACAGUUUGCUUUGAAUUCAAUAAGGAUAUUUCAGAUAAUUUGAGUGAAUUGCUUUGUGGUAGAGUUUACAACAAUAAAUUGAGUGCUAUUUUCAACAAAAUCUGAUUGAAAAAAUAUAUAUACUGAAAACAAACCUGGAGAGCCUGGACAACUUUUUCCGUCUCUAAAUCAAAAUCCUGUUUCUCCUCCAUGGUCACAAGCUCCAGCACAGCACAGCAAUACUUGGGUUGAUCAGAUUCAAAGAUCGGAAAGGUAAUAAUACCCCUUACUCCACAAGAGAUGGCAUCUGAUAGGUGUGAGAAUUCACUCGGCCUGUAAUAACUUACAUUUGAAGUCCAUUCUGGAAAUUGACGCGCAUAAGUCCAUACCCGAUCCAAAAUGUCGUGGCCUGAAAGCCAUUUCCGACCCUCCAGUUGACGAUAUUCAAGUAGCGUAGAAUUUUGGACGCACAGGUGAGGGUAAGGGAGAUUUUCCUGGGCGAAUCCACGCUUAUCUUCAGCCCAAAAUUGUGCCAAAAAACAACCACUUCCUAAAGAAUCUUUAAGCAACAAUAACGCUUUUUUCAUCUUCGCACGUAGUCUUAACUUUGCAGGAGGCAAAUCAUCAUCGACGGAAGACAAAUGUUCCACGUCCAUUUGUAUUUGGACAAUGUUUUUUGGCCACAAGCCUUCUCACUCCUCAGAUCUUCUCACACAGUGGCUGGAAAGUGGAACGAUGAGGAGUAGGUAAAGGCUGAUCAGAAAUAGCUCUACCCAGAUUUUUUUGGCAGUGUCUUAAAACCAACUUAUCUUCUGCCCCUUAUUCACUGAUAUUUUACCUCUAUUCUGAUAGUUUAAUUCUUUUCAAUUUCAUCCUUGUGUUUUUCUUGACUAAAAAAAAGCUUAUUUAUAGCAGCAGAACUGGCUGAGAAUCUCAAGUGUAUUUGGAUUGUCCGGCCCGGUCACUAGCCCAAGCCAGUGACCCGGCUGGGCAAAGCACACGUGAACUUGUUCACGCGUGCAUGGGCACAGUGCGAAGGUAAUUAAUUACCUUCGCACAGUGCUAAAUGCACCAAAGAUUCAAAAGGAAUGAAAAGGAAGAGAAAGCUUACCGUGCCGCAGAUUGCUCUGCUGGAGUGUUAGCGUUUUGGGCGAAGAUCAGUGAAGGCGCUCGUUGCAAGGAAACUGGAAUUCCUCCUACCUUUACUUUCAUGCCCUCUGUUUCUUCUUCUCUCGUCUUUUUUGUUCUAUCGUCCCUGUGUUUGUCUCCUGCGUCUCCUUCCAGUUCUUCCCACGUUUGUUUUUGUUCGUUCCUCUGUUCUCUCCUGCUCCUUUUCUUUUUUUCGUUCGUGCUCUGUUUUCUUUUUUCCCCUCCUGCUUCUCCCGCUCGUCUGUGAAUUUGUGCCUUUUGCUCUGUCACUAUUUUGAGGCCUUUCUCUGGCUUUAUAAAAGCCAGAGAAGGUCUGGUGUCCCUGCCUCCAGAAAUGGUGGGCAUCUUGGAGGCGAGAGAUCAUGGCCGCAUCGUGGGUAUAGUGGCCGUGAUCUGCUGGGUUUUCCCCUGUUGAACCGGUCUUCAACAAGCAGAUGAUGAACAGAAGGAUCCAAAACGACGUCAUUUGGCAUGGAAAACGACAAAUUAUAGAUUGGUCCCUGAUGUUUUGAAAUGUAUCAAUUGGGUCUCUUCAUCAUAAAUUGUAAUUUUGCUCCUUGUAUUAAUUUCAAUUAAAUCCCUGAAUUUAUUUUAUUAAUUAAAUUAAAAUUUAAUUAAGUAAGUAAACUUAUUAAUUCUCUUGAUUUUAUUAAUUAAACUAAAUUAAAUUUUCAGACUUAUUAAUUUUAUAAUUUCUGAACAAUUUAAUUUCAAAUUUAAUAAUUUUAUCCUUGUAUUUAUAUUAUUUUAACUCCAUUCUUAAAUAUAUUUUUAUCCAUUUAUUUUUUAUUAUGUAUUCAAAAAUUAAGUUAUGAUAUCAUCUAUAUUUCAAUUUUGUUAACUAAUAAAUUUGAUUUAAUUACCUUGAAUUUAGUUUAAUAAGCAAUUAAAAAGUUUAAAGAUAAGAAUUAAAAAAUCAAAAUCAAAAUUUUGAACCAUCCAAAGAGUAAACAAUGCACGUGAAAAUAUUUUGGCAACAUUUAAUGUUUUUUAUAAUAAUAUAAUAAUAACUGUUUGGAUUUUUUAAUUUGGAUCACUUUAUAUUUUUUUUUUUCAAAGCUAAUUUUAAAUAGGAAUCAAAUAUCUGUCCAAUAUUUUUAAAAAUAUUUUUUAUUUAAAAUACAUUAAAAUAAUAUUAUUUUUUAAAUUAAUAUAUUAAAAUAAUAUGGUAUAAAAAUAAAAAAAAAAUUAAUUUAAAAUUUAAAAAUAAAUAAAAAUUUAAAUGUUUUUUAAAAAAUACUUUUAAAAUAUAAAAAUAAACGUUACGAUAGUUACCCUUCAUUGAAAUCAGUGCCUUUUUUUUAUACCAAAACCCAGAAAAAAAAAUCUUGAGCUUUAUACUCGCGCAAAAAAGGCAGUCUUUACUUAUAUUUAGCUUUAUCUGUGUGCUUAUAUGUAUAAAGAAGACAAAUUUGGAGGUGGGUUUGGUGUGUUAUUGUUGAUAUUGGAGUGUGGAAGUGAAUCACGGAGGCUUUCUAUACUGCAAAUUUUUGGAUGUCAUAUUACUGGAUUGUCCUUGCUACUCAUAGAAAGGAGGUGAGUGAUGUACUAGUUAGACCAUGGAUGUUGAGAUAUAUGUUUAUUGGCUGCUGAAAGCUGAUAUAUCUUGAUUUCUUGGUGUGUGCAGGCAGCUAUAUGUAUUGCAGGUUUGAAGAAAGUGAGGUUUUGCUUUCUGGGUUAUUUCUGUCGAAACAGGUAAAAGGUUAGGUUUUUCAAGUGUAAUUAUUGAGUUGUUUUUAGUUAUUCAAAAACAAAAAAAAAAAGGCUAAAGAGAGGAAAUUGAGCUGUUCUGUUUUGCGGGAAGAUAAAAUCUGAGCAGAAAGAGUGAAACUUUGAAAGAUUUGAAGUUAUGCAAGUGAGGGAAGAUAUUUGGAAACGAAGAAUUGAGUUUUGAGUAUUUUGGAGUGUGAUUUUUUGGAGUGUGAUUUUGGGGAGAUGAAAAUAUUUUUUUUAGUGCGGUUAUUAUUGUUUUUUAAAGUAUUUUUUAUAUUUAUAUGUAUUAAAAUAAUAUUUUUUUUAUUUUUAAAAUAAAUACAUCAAAACAAUUUAAAACACACAAAACAAAAUUAAUUUUUAACAAAAAAAAUUAAAAUUUUAAAAAACACAAAUACAAUCAUAUUUCCAAAACCUAAAAAAAAAAAAAAAAGUUUGAGAAAAGUCAAUUUGGCCUUGUAUGGCUGUAAAUUCUAUAGCUUUGUAUGAUCUAGAAUGGCUCUGGCGUCUAUUGCCUUUUUUUUUUACGCUAGUGCUCCUGCCGGCCGGCACCUGAAUUUAUAGAGCGGAGCGGAAAGUACAGGGGAGAGUGAGCGGAAAGUCAUUUUCUAAAUUGAUUAAUAAAAAACUUUUUAGUUAAAGAAAAAUUUUAUUUGAUUUUUUUAAAAAUAGUUUUUUUUUUAUUUUGAAUAUAAAAUAUUUUUAAAAAAUUAUGAAAAAUUUAGAAAUAUCAUAUUAUUUACUGAUUAUAUCAAAUUUAAUCCUUAAACUUUUGAUUGUUAUAUAUAUAUUUUUUUGAAUAUUUUUUUUAAUUUCAUUUCUUAGAAUUUGAUUUUUAUAUUAAUUUUAAUCCUUAUUUUUAUAAUUUUUAUUUUUUUAUUAUCAUUUUUAAUUAAAAAUUUUUAUCUAUCAAAUUUGAUCCUCAUUCUUUUGAUUGUUACUUAUUUUAUUUGAAAUAAUUUAUGAAAUGGUAAUUAUUAUUAUUUUAAUUUCUUCAUCUUUCAAUAUUUUUAUUUGUUAAACUUGAUCUCUAUUAUUUUAAUUAUUAUUAUUAUUAUUUUAAUUUCUUUAUUUUUUAAUAUUUUUAUUUGUUAGACUUGAUCUCUAUUAUUUUGAUUAUUAUUUAUUUUAUUUGAGAUAAUUUAUCAAAUUUUUUUUAAUUUCAUUCUCAUUCAAAUUUUUAAUUUAUAAGAUUUAUUCUUUAUUAUUUUAAUAAAGUUGAAAAAAAUAAAAUAUUAAUAAAUUAUUUUUCAGCUCAUUUUUCAUGACAUAACCAAACACUGAAAAAUAUUUUUCAAUUUAUUUUUUAUUAUACUAUCAAAUAAAAAAAAUAAUUUAUUUUUUCAGAAUUUAUUUUAAACAGCAUCCAAGUUUGAGGGAGAAGAAUAGCAAGGCGAGGAGUUACUGUAUAAAAGCUCCCACGCAAGAUGACGACAACGACGACGACAGAAAAUACUCAGGUGGGGCAGUUAUGCUUCAGUGCCACAAAUGAGGUGAUUGCUCAAGGAGUUUAGAAACACCAUUUUCAAUAUUCUGCUAACUUAUGGUAUCUUUCAAGCUCGUAAGCAUGCCAUCAGCUGUAUUAAGUAUUAGAUACUAAAUUAGUUACCAAUCUCUCUCAAGGAGGUGAUUGCUCUCAAUUUGAUCCCUAAACUAAAAUGUUUCUCAAUUAGGUCCUUACAAAGUUUGGCCAUUUCUCAAUUGAAUCCUUCUAUCCAUAUCUAAUGCCAUGGGAUGAAGUCGUAAAUCAAGAAAUAAAUACAUUCUCUACAUUUUUAAAAAGAACUUGAAAUGUCUUGUCGAAACAAUUGUGAUAAUUUUAGAUGAAAGGACUUAAAUCUGCAGGGAAAAAUUAUUUAUGGUCGUGACGGAAUUAAAUCACUCGAUCGUAGCUAAGUACCUAAAUAUAUACACUCAUUUCUCUGUGGAAAAAGGAAGAAGAAUUGAAGACAAAUAAGGACUGCCAAAACCAGCUAGCUGCCAUGGACUCGUCGAGAGUGGUGUUUUUUUUUUUUUUAGUUUAAUGUAGGUGUCCGGGCCAGCUUGCGCGCACCUCGACUAAUCCCACGGGCCCUGAAGUUAAUGAUCAUGUAAGCCUCCAGUGGCCAUCAUAUGAGCAACCACAGAGCUCGAAUCUGAAACUACAGAGAAAGCAAACCUUUUAAUCUCAAAUUUUUACCACUGGUGUUUUUGUUCAUAGCUAUGAUGGAAAUAUGGCUAAAGGCAGUUACAGGUCACAGAAAAUAUGAAGGAAUUUUGUUGAUUUGCCAGAUGAGAUUUGCAAUGUCGAAAAUUCUAGCUUCAAUGAAAAUGGAUGGUAGCAUAACAAAUUCUUCUAGGUUUUUUUUUUUUUUUUUUUAAUGCAGAGCCUCUAUUGUACCCAAAGCAAUAAAUUCAUGAUUCAAUUAUUUUUGGUCCAGUCCGAUUUUUACCUAUAAAAAUAAUCAAACUAAAAUUUUAUAAAAUAUAAAAAAUAAAAUCAAAACCAAACCGAAACGAAACCGAUCCCAACCUACCGGUUUUGGUUUGGUUCGGUUUUGGUUAUUUUAUAUUAAAAAUCAAAAACUAUACUAUUUUUUGAGGUUUUUUUUGGACUUUUUGACGGGCUUGAUUUAGGUUCGGUUCGGUUUUUUAUUUUUUUCUAUUUGAUUCAGUUUAUUUUUAACUAAAUCGGUUCGGUUCGAUUGAGGUUUUUUAGUUUCAGGCUUAUGAAACCUAACCCGAACCCGAAUCAAACCAAAUAUAUUUUUAAAUAUUCUAAUCAGUUUAAUCAAUUUUUUUAAUAACUUGAUUUUUUUAAUUAUUUAUUUUUUAAAUUUUCUUGAUUUAAUUAAUUUUUCAGUUUUUUUUUACCACUACUUUCUUUUUAAUUUACUAGUUACUAUUUAUAGGGUAAUAAUGAGUGUACUGAGAUUAGUUAAAUCUGAUUAAAAAUUCUAAAAUCCAAUUAAUUUUAUAAUUUCUAAUUAUUCGAUGAUUUAACAAGUGUAGAAUAAAUCACUCCAUUUCAGAACAUAAGUCAUGUCUAGAAAUGAUUUAUUGGCCUAUAUUGGUUUUAAUUGAAUUCAACCUAGAUCGUAGAUAUGGUCCAUGAAAGAAUGGAUGAUUAUUAUUUGGAAGGGAAAAAUUAAUCGGACCUUUAUUUGAGAUGGAGUUAAUUUGUCGAAGAAAGAGAUGGAGUUUGUCAUCAAUCGAAUGUUGGAGUUUGAGAAAAGUCAAUCGGACCUUAAAAAAUUUACAAGUACGAAUGUCCCACCCCCCCACCCCCACAGUCCGCCAGUCGGAAUGUUUAGGGAUCCCACCCCCCCCCCCCCCCCCUAUUUAUAGCACUCAGUCCCCCCACCCUCUCAGCCAAACCUCCUCCUCCUCCUCCUCCUCCUGCAGUCUCUUGCUUGUCUUUUAGUCCCACCACCAUCACAAGCAGCUAGAAUUCUUUCCCAGUCUUUUCAACAGUUUUUUCGAUAGUUUUUUGCGUUUCUUAUAAAUUCUUUCACAGUCUUCUCAAGCUUUAUACAUACAGCACAGGAAAACCAUGGAGAAUAGUGCUCGAGUUAUCAAGGGUUUUAUUCUUUCAAUUCCAGAAUCUGUGUCCCGACUCUGGCAUAGAGCACGACAACUGGAAUCACAGCAGCUACCACCUCCCACCAUGAACCAAGAAGGAGAGGCUAACCAGGGAAUGAAAUGGCAAAAGGUGCUUGUAAGCACCUGCUUCACAUCAGGACUUCAAAUAGCCCUUCAUUUUCACCAAAUUACUGAUUCCAAACUCGAUUCCUUGCAUUUAGUCUGUAUCCUUGUUGCAUUUAUCUUUUCUUGCCUCUUUGUUUCACAUUUUAUCAACCCCGCCAAGUUUCCGCGGACAUCCAAAGUGUUGGGUAAAGUUGCAGUUUUCCUGGUAGCCACCGUGUUUUUCAUCACCAUUUCAAUCCCAUUCCCCCCUGGUGUCAAGUGGGCUACUUGGAUAAUCUAUGCCAUUUCGUUGCUUGUUAUUGCAAUCUGCAAUUUCUGCUACUAGGCAUACAUUUUUUCUGUCAGUGUUUGUAUUUGUUCUUCAUAAUAAGGCUUAAAUUUUAAAAACGAACAUGUUGUUUCGUUGCUGCGUGUGUCGGUAUUUACUUAAACAUCAUAUAUCAAAAAGUUGAACACCAGAUUUCUGGUUUUUCCCCUCCUAUGUAUAUCCAAGCAUUUUCCAAUAGAAAAGCAACUCAAAAGUUUAUGAUCUUAAGCUUCAAUUUCAAGCAUAACAGGAGCGCAAUGUUGCAUUGACUGUUAAUUUAACUAGCAAGAUAUUUUCAUCCUAAUUAUAUCAUCUUGAAAACUAGUUGUUUUAUUAUCACUUGGUGCUUGAAUUAACCUGGCCAGAUCUAGUGGAUCGAUCGUUAAAUAACUCUUGCAAACUUCAAAUUCUUGGUUCAUCCUUUUUUUUCCCCUACCCAUUAUCUGUUUCACGAAAUUUGGUCUACAAAGUGGAGAAAGAAAAGUCCCGCACUUCCUUUUUGAUGAUUAUUAACAUGAUCAUGAUACUACAACAACAGCAAAAACUAAAAUCCUCUUUUGUCUUUCUGUGCGGUGUUUGGUAUCAACUACGCUAAGAUUUGAUUUGCAUCUCCUAAGCUCAAUUACAGUAUCAAUUUGUAUACCCACUGUAAACGAACCAACCAAAUAUUUAGAUAUUUGCUUCCCAGGUGAGUCAAAUCUCACAUCUGUGGAGACCAGAGAAGAACCAGGCUUCCCUUCCUUGCUGUUGCAAAUAUGGAUGACAAAAACAAAUUGAGAAAAAAUGAUAAUCCCAUAAAAUGUGAACAUUCAAUUUCGGGAGAUAAAAACUAUAGUUACAACAGAACAAUCACUUUCACAUGUUGUAAUCUCAUAGGACGCGUGAUAAUGCCUUAAAAGACAAUCUGGUUAAACAAAUUGAUACUGUAAUUGAAACUACAAGGUUGCACCAUUAAGCAUAGGAAAUGCAAAUCAAAUCUUAGCACAGAAAGACAAAAGAUUGACUGUGGUGUAUAUGUUAUCAAGUUUAUGCUAGCACCAGAAGAAGUGACAAAUCCUGAUUUUGUGGUAAGAUUUUAACAUUAAUGGCAGUCUUUCUAAUUAUCUAGCCAACAUGUAGUUCGACAGCGAUACCGAGAGGUUGGAAGUGGUACUAAGAUUGCUAGUGAGUGAUGUCAACUCAUGCAUGAAUGAUUUGGCUACUAAGGUUGAGGCAUAUUAUGAGCAGAGGUUUGGAAAUCAUUGAGAAUUUUUGGCAAGAAAUGAGAAUAUAAAAGACGUAAAUCAUCGAUAGGAAAGAAACUAUUCAGACAACAUAUAGGAAUUCAACUUCAAGGAAGCUUACCAGAGAAUGUGGGCUGCAUGAAAAGGAACUCAACGCUCAUCAAAUCAGAUGUGAACGGCUAUCAUUGUAAACAAAAUAGUAUAAUUGGUAUAGGCAUAAAAUGGGAAUACGGGAAACAGUCAUCUGAUUGCCCUGCCCCUCCUGCACAUUCCUGUGGAGAUUUCUGGCUGAACUAAAAACUAUGAGUUGUUUCAUUAUUUCAUGAUUCAUCUAUACCAUGUAAAUAUUAUAUAAAUGCAAAUCAGUUGCUCGACCUUACCCUUGUCAAUCCAUUGCACUGAGGACGACUGGUAUACGCAACAAUUUUGGUUGUCAUCCUUAAACGAUGCAGAAUAUACAAGACCACGAAGUUAUUGCCAAAAUGCAGAUAAAUCUAACAUUUUCCUGCUCAAAAUGCAGCAUAUUAUGGUUCUAAAACAUAGUAGCAAGGGAAAGGAACCUAUUUAUCAACAACGUACCAAGAGUGAGUACUUAAAGGGAACAAGAGGAUCUUCAAGGGAGAAACUUAUUUAUGAAGAACAUUUUGUUCUCUCUCCAGGACAAACAAUUUAUGCCCUUUCUUUCCUUUUGCAAGGCUUUUAAGUGAAAACAGGUUGCUAGUCAAGUUACAUAAUUUGUCAUCUAAAGAUACAAGAGAACAAAAGCUUCUGCAAUAUAGUAUACAGUAAAGUGAAGCUAAACAUUUUCAUCUCUGAAUUAAAAUCUGGUUUCUCCUUCACAGAGACAAGUUCCAGAACAGCACAGCAGGACAUGUCAUCUGGAUCAAAGAUCAAUGCAAAAGAACCUCGUUCUUCAUGAUCAGAUGCAUGCUUUGCCUGUAAGUACUCAGGCUUGCUAUAAUAAAUUACACUUGAAGUCCAUUCUGGAAUCUUAGAGAUAAACACACGACCAGGAAGGUCUAGUGGUAAACCAUGCUAGCAUUUGGUCAAACCAAGAAUGGUUGCUCUGAGGUGCUCAACAAGUAUUGAUCCCCGCUCCUUAUGGGAACCCACACCUGCACUUAAAUAACCCCUACAGAUGAAUCAUUGAACAAGGAUAAUGCCUCUAGCAUCCUCUCAGCAAGUGAUGAUGGCCUGGUUGGUUGAGAAAUAAUACAAUCUGAGGUGUUUUGGAAACAGUUUUGUGGACCAGCACCACUACUGUGUUUUGCACCCAGAUCAUCAGCAUCAAUGCAAUCUUAGGGAUAACCAAAAUACGAAUACGUUUGCUGAAGCACCACAUUAUCUCCACCAUUGUAAGAAGUCCCAGAAGCAUUUAUUUUAUCCAGCAAGGGAGCAGAAGUUUGUUCUGCAAAACUUUCUGCACACAGGAUGGAUAGGAUGUUGAUGGAAAAGAUGGCAUCCCAUCGAAGGCAAGCAUUUGAUCCAUAGCUGACAGGCUGUCGCACCAUCCAGCAUACAUAUCACAAUUCCUAAGCUCUGAAAAAAAGUUGAACGGGUCCUCCAACAAUGAAUUCCUAAGAGAAUCAUCGAAAGGUGGGACACAAUCUAUUUGAGCUCUUGGCCAAGCCCAAUAUCCCAUCCAUAUUUCUUUCGACGAGAAGGGGUUCUCCAUUGUGGUUAGUUAUAUAACUAACCAAAAUACUCUCCCCUCUUUUCAAUCAGAAUUCCAUACAAAGAACUCAAUUGACUCAAGUCUUCAUUUCCUAAUAUCUUCCCUCACUUGCACAACUUCAAAUCUUUCAAAGUUUCACUCUUUCUGCUCAGAUUUUUAUCUACCCGCAAAACAGAACAGCUCAAUUUCCUCUCUUUAGCCUUCUUUUUUUUUUUUUGAAUAACUAAAAACAACUCAAUAAUUACACUUGAAAAACCUAACCUUUUACCUGUUUCGACAGAAAUAACCCAGAAAGCAAAACCUCAAUCUCUUCAAUCCUGCAAUACAUAUAGCUGCCUGCACACGCCAAGAAAUCAAGAUAUAUCAGCUUUCAGCGGCCAAUAAACAAAUAUGUCAACAUCCAUGGUCUAAUUAGUACAUUACUCACCUCCUUUCUAUGAGGAGCAAGGACAAUCCAGCUAUAUGACAUCCAAAAAUUUGCAGUAUAGAAAGCCUCCGUGAUUCACUUCCGCACUCCAAUAUCAACAAUAACACACCAAACCCACCUCCAAAUUUGUCUUCUUUAUACAUGUACGCACACAGAUAAAGCUAAAUAUAAGUAGAGACUGCCCUUUUUUGCGCAUGUAUAAAGCUUGAGAUCUUCUUUUUCUGGGUUUUGGUCCAAAAAAAAGGCACUGAUUUCAAUGAAGGUUAACUAUCCUAAGUCUUAACCUCAACUUGUUUAUUUUUAUAUUUUAAAAUUAUUUUUUUUAAAGUAAAUUUUUAUUUAAUUUUUUAUUUUAAAUUAAAUUUUUUUAGUGUUUUUAUAUUAUAUUAUUUUAAUUUAUUAAUGUUAAAAAUAAUUUUUUAAAAAUAAAAAAUAAUAUUAUUUUAAUAUAUUUUAAAUUAAAAAAUAUUUUAAAAAACAACUAUAUUAUAUUUUAAAUAUUCAUAACUUGUGUUCGAAGAGAUUUGAUUUCUAUUUAAAAUUAGUUUUUGAAAAAUAAAAUUAUAUAAUGUGAUUCAAAUUGAAAAAGCAAAACUAUUAUUAUUAUAUUAUUAUAAAAAAACAUUAAAUGUUGCCAAAAUACUUUAGACGUGCAUUGUUUACUCUCUGAAUGGUUCAAAAUUUUGAUUUAAAAAAAAAAUUAUCUUCAAACUUUUUAAUUGCUUAUUAAGCUAAAUUCAAGGUAAUUAAAUCAAAUUUAUGAGUUAACAAAGUUGAAAAUUGAAAGAUAAAUGAUCAAAAUAAAUAAAAUGUAUAUUACAAAAAGAUAAUGAUUUAAAAAUUCUUAUAAACAGUUCACUUUCAUCUUCAAUCUUAGUAUAUUAUAUCUAUUCAGUUCUUAAAUAUCUUUUAAAUUUAAUUUUAAUAAAAAAAUUUAUAUUUGUUAUUUUUUUAUCUCUAAUUUGAGAAAAAAAGAUAGAGGUCAUCGAAUUCCGGCUAUAAAAAAAAGUUAUUAGUAAUAAUUUUAAUUAUUAAAAUAGUCAAUAUUAAUGUAAAAUAAUUUUAUUUAAUGAGUGUAGUUUAUAUUAAAUGUAUUUUUUCACGAAUUAUUCUGGGUCACAUCCCAAAAUCUACCCGUAUAAGACUGAAAGGUGAGCAUGAAACAACUGCAAUUGGGCUCAACAACAAUGCUUCCUUCUACCACUUUGAGAGGAAAACGCAUGUGCACUAUGGUAGAGUAAGAUACAGGGGGAAAAAAUUGACAAAACAGUGUAAAGUGGAAGUCUUUUGAACUCAAUCUAAUAACUAAGGCUGAAUCCUGAAAAUAAUAUUUUGUAGGGAAAUGCAUGCCUCUGUAAUAUCUUAUGGACUGACAGAAAGAAUCUUCUCUCUCUUUUUUAAUCCAUAUAUAAAAGCACAAACCGAAUGAAAAGCUGAUGAUAAAAAACCAUAUACAGGUCCCAGGCAUUCAUAGUUUGGCAUGAAAGCCAUAACAAGAAAGAAUCAGCCAAUACUGAAACAAUGCCAAUAACACAGAAAAUCUAACAUUAAGACUCCCUCCACAUUUCAGAAAAUAGAAAAUCAUUAAAAAUGACCUUAUUCAGUUCAUCAGGUAAUGUGGUUAAAAAAGAAAAAAGAAAAACAUAAAUACCUCCUCGCUGUCCUAAGCUGACACCGGGACUCCGCAGUGGUUCCCAGUGCAUAACAGCCAAGUAGAAAUUCCCAAACUUCUGGCCUAAUAGAUGGAUCCACACCCUAACACGCAGCAAACGAUGUCAUAUAGCUACACAGAAAUUCCAACCCACUUCAUAGAGAUAUGAAACCCAAAAUUAUAGACUAGAACCAAAUCAGCACCAUCUCAUUAUUCAACAAAGGACUGGAAAAUAAAUUUAAGGGGGCAAAAUAUAGCAACAACGAGACAGCAUACCCCCAAAACUAUCAACUUGAGUGCUUUCCGAAAACCCGAAACCUUUCCAUUACUAUCAAAAGUCGACUCCCAUUUCUCCGGCAUAAGCAUUUUGCUUACCUGCAACAUUAACAGCACAAAAUCCCUAUCAAGAUAAAAAAAAAAAAAAAUAAAAAAAAAACCUCACCGAUAACACGAAAUCUUAUGAAAUAAAAGGUUUGAGCAGUCAAUCUUAAAGUUAUAACAACCUUUAUAGGUGAUUGAGAAAGACAAGGCUCUCUCACAUCCUUCACCAUUGUUCCUACUCUCUGUAAAUUCACCACCGAUAUCGCUUUUCCACAUUUCCAUUGCUUCUCCUCUCUCUCUCCACUAGACAUCUACACCAAAAAAAUCCUCCUUUUCUCUCUCUCUCUCUAAUUAUUUUUCUUAGUCCUUCCUAAAUAUCAUCGCCGUGUAAUUAACUGACAAACUCAACAACUGCAAUUGCGAAAUCAAAAUUAAUGAACCCUCAUUAACUGAAAAUUUUGAUUAAUGAUGAAAAAACAUCGAAUUUAAAUAAAAAAAAAUACAUGAAAUUAAUAGAUUAACUGGAAAUUGGAAACGUCGAUCGAAAUGGAAUAGACAUGCAGCAAUGAUCGGACGAUCCAAUCAAAAUGUAUGUACGCAUGAAAAAAUAAACGUAGCAAUAUACUCGUAUGAGAAAGAAGGUAUGUGUACGAAUACGUACAAAUGUACGGAGAGAGUACCUGGAGAAGAAAAUUGAGAACGCGGAGAAUGGUGAAGACGAAGAAGUUAGGAGGAGGAGGAGGAGGAGUUUGUUGUCCUCCGUCGCCAUUUACGAAGAAUUUGUUUUUUUUUUUAAAGAGAAGAAAAUAAGAAAAAGAAAAAAGACCGUUUAUUCUUCUCUCUUUCUAGUUUUUUAUCCUUAUUUUUACCCCUGAUUUUUUUUUUCAUUUAUUUUUUUAUUUAGGAAUAAAAUGUUUUCUUUUUUUCUUUAAGAAGUAUAAAUUCUAAUAUGAUUAAUUUAUCCUUUAUGUUUUAUGUUUAAGGGUGUCGGGUCCUUUAAGAUAUACAUAUACAUAUACAUAUACAUAUACAUACAUACAUAUAUGGUUUAGUUUUAGCAUUGUUUUUAGCAUUUGGAGCGGGUUCAAUUUUAGCAUUGUUUUUACUAACUUUAGAACCUCGUUCCCAGAGUAAUUCUUCUUUUGAAAACAUUCUCAAGCUCUUACAAGUUUUCCGUAGUGUAAGCUUCAGGUUCCUAACCAAGCCUUGCUGCUCUGAACUCUCUUUCAUGAGGAUAGGGAGAAAGAACUCUAAUAUAUAGUUAUAAUCAGCAUCACUGCCCCUUAGCCAGAUUGCAACUGCAGCAUUCCAAUUAUACUUUCGUGCGUGAUGAGCAAGAGGAUACUCGCUUACAUGAUUUUCCUUCACAUCAGGCUCAAAGGAAGGAAGAUAUUUUAUAAAGGCUCGUCCAGCAGCACCUUGCCAACUGUGCAUAAAUAGUUGCUCACAAGCAUGCACAAAGUCUUGCAUCUCCUCAUCGGCAUAACAAGAUGUACGCUCUAUGAAAAAUACACAUUUCCGGAUCAUCCUUGAAUCACGUAAUCUGACACGCAAUUUUGAAAUAUCAUCAACAGCUCCCCAGGUAUAAUCACAAGGAAUCCAUGUCAGAGCAAGUGGCAAUCUGUGUGUUUGGCAUACAGCUGUGGUAACAAGUAGAAAAAAAAUUCUAUUAGACAAAGCAGAAGACAACCUAAUUUAGCAUAGAAAAAACUGUAAGCUACUACUGAUAAAUACCUCAGGACGAAGUCGAGUUUGUAAAUUGAUCCAUAAAUCGGCAGCCUGCAAACAGUUGGGCUUAUACAGAGUUUAUAACACCAUCAAACAAGACCAAUGUCUCUUUGCACAUAUAAUUUAAUGGCACAAAUAUUUUGGAAUCAAGCUAAUGCAGUUGUAAUAAGGAAUGCCUCAUCAGCUCUAAUUUAAAGCUUAAAGAUUGUUUCACCUCAGAAACACUAGCAAAUGCAAACACAGAGAUCACAGAAAAUGAAGCUAAUGGGGGAAAAUUCACAUUUUAUGAGAUUUCGAAAGUAGAAAAAACAAUAACUUUGACUUCAAACUCGAUAUGCUAAGGAAAUCUACUCUCUUUCAUCUCUUUCUUAUUCUCCUAAAUCCUGAUAAUAAAUUGGGUAGUAUUUUCAAUCGAUAUCCAAAAUCUGAUUGAAAAAAUAUAUGUAAUGAAAACAAACCUGGAGAGCCUGGAAAGUUUUUUCCGUCUCUAAAUCAAAAUCCUGUUUCUCCUCCAUGGUCACAAGCUCCAACACAGCACGGCAAUGCAUGGGUGCAGCAGAAUCAAAGACCAGAAAGGCGAUAAUACCCCUUACUCCACAAGAGAUGGCAUCUGAUAGGUGUGAGUAUUCACUCGGUCUGUAAUAACGUACAUUUGAAGUCCAUUCUGGAAAUCCACAAUACCAUACCCGAGCAAAAAGCUAUGGACAUGAAAGCCCUUUCCGACCCUCCAGUUGACGAUAUUCAAGAAGCGUAGAAUUUGGGACGCACAAGUGAGGGUAAGGGAGAUUUUGCAGGCUGAUUCCUAAAGAAUUUUUAAGCAACGAUAACGCUUUUUCCAUCUUUUCCCAUAGACUCAACAUUGCAGGAGGCAAAUCAUCAUCGACGCGAGACAAAUGUUCCAAAUCCAUUUGUAUUUCGACAAUUUUGUCCGCGACAAUUCUUCUCACUCCUCAGAUCAUCUUGUCCAUGGCUGGAAAGUGGAAUGAUGAGGAGUGGUUAAACACUUGAAGGAGGUUGACUUGACUUCUAAUUUUGAUAAUAAUUAACGAGGAAGCUUCCUCUGGCACACUUUGCUCCAUCAGUUUUCAUCUCUCCAUGUUUUACAUGGGUGUUACAUUUACAGGCUACAAGAACAAGAAGUUUCAUCAGGGUAAAAAAAACAUAAUAUCCUAAUUGACAAAAGCCAAUAUAUUUAAAACUGUUAGUUGCAACAAAAGGGUUUUCUGCAGAUCCAUACUAUUUCCACAGUUUUUCGCGUUUGUAAUAAAAAAUUUUCAAGAUCCAUUAUAGGGACCGAAACAAAAGUAAUUCAUUUUUUUCAUCUCAACUUUCCAGGUGAGAUGAAAAAAAUCCGCUAAUCUUCUUUUCUUGCCCCGGUCUUGUAUCUGCCAUAGCUCAUAACGUAUGCAGCCAUUUACCAAGUUAUGCAGUCGCCUGUCAACCCAUUCACUCGGACUUGAUGCAGCAAAUGAAUCCUAUAUCUCAACAACUUGCCUUUUCAAUUGUAGAACAAAUAGAAAGAAAUGACUUCUUUCUCGUCAAAGACAGGAACAAACGCCUGCAAAUAUAGUUUUCACAGCAUAACUAAGCAUGGGAUGCAUUAAUUGGACUAAAGAAAACCAAACUUCACCUUUCCACAGCAUAAAAGAUCUGACAUGUAGUUUUCCUUGAUCCUGUGCUGUGCUUUUUCGCGAAAGAAAUACACUUAGAUGGAUCAAUCUGAAUUCCCCUGUACAACACAUGAGCAUAAGGAAAUUCUGUUUUUUCAUGUAGUGGACUUGUAAAAUUGAACAGCAUAAGAUGUCAGUUGUCCAAAUAUGAUCUUGGAACCUACCACAAAACAAUUGGCAGAUACCAAUUUACAGAAUCUUCCAUCUUCCUCUUAACUAAAGUUAUGGCAUCAGAUAUCGUAGAAAGGACGUUAUCAUCAAGCCAGGUCUUUGGUCUCAGUGAGUAUAGUUCCCUCCGAGAUAAAUGAUAAUUCUUGCAAUGAACAAUAGUCUCACUAGCAGAAACAGGUACAGAAUAGGUCAACUGGUGAGCUUAAAUGCAUUCAGCUAAGCAAACAAUAACUUGACGAAAAAGAAUCUGACCUCUCAAUCAGUGAAGAAUCAAAGACAUAUUGGAUUAACUUUAAGUCCUCUGGACUGGUAGGUUUGCUCACUGUAAACGGACCAACCAAAUAUUUAGACAUUUGCUUCCCAGGUGAGUCAAAUCUCACAUUUGAGGAGACCAGAG
rnacentral:lncRNA from 1 species